rnacentral:lncRNA from 1 species
CUUUUUUUUUUUUUGGGUGAUUUACUGUGCAGGUUAGUGAAUGUGUUUUUUUUUUUUUUGGAAAAAAAAUGAGAUAAUGCGUAUGGAGUUUAAUUUAUGUUUUUUUGGGUAAAUAGAGAUGAAAUUGAAUUCAAAUCGGAAAUUUCCUUGAAUCUAAUACUUAAUUGUCUAGUUAUUUUUUCUUGCUUAUUAUGUCUUAUUUGUUUCUAAUAGUAUUUGUAGUAUUUAUUGUGAAAUUAUGAGAAAUUAAUUAAAUAAAAAAUUUCUAUACUCAAUUUAUUCUAAUUUAUUAGAAGAGGAAUUAUUAUUAUUUUCCUUUAUUGUUUGUCAAUAUCUGAGUAUAUUUUUGUCUGAUUUCUCCUAAAAUUUUAUUUAUUUGGUAGAAUUAAAGAUUGAAUGAUUAUAAAAUGUUAACUCCGUAGAUAAUUUUUUUGAACGUUUCAUUAAUUUAAUUUGUUGACAUAUUAAUUUAUUUCUUUUCUAGACUGGUGCUUCUUUGGAAUUACUUUUACGGAGAUUUAAUGAUCAAGAAUUGCAAGCUCGUUGGCGAACUCUCCUAUGUAGCCUAGAUGAGAAAGAAAUACGCAUGCAAAAUACAUUAGUCCCUCUUGUUCGCGAUGGGGCCGACACAUUAGUUCCUCUUGUUCGCGAUGAGGCUGACACAUUUGUCUCUCUUAUUCAUGAUGAGGCUAAUACAUUAGUCCCUCUUGUUCGUGAUGGGGCAGAUACAUUAGUCCCUCUUGUUCGCGAUGGGGCAGAUACAUUAGUCCCUCUUGUUCAUGAUGGGGCCGAUACAUUUGUCUCUCUUGUUCGCGAUGGGGCCGAUACAUUUGUCCCUCUUGUUCGCGAUGGGGCCGACACAUUAGUCCCUCUUGUUCGCGAUGGAGCCGACACAUUAGUCCCUCUUAUUCGCGAUGAGGCUGACACAUUAGUCCCUCUUGUUCGCGAUGGGGCAGAUACAUUAGUCCCUCUUGUUCGCGAUGGGGCUGACACAUUUGUCCCUCUUGUUUGUGAUGGGGCUGAUACAUUAGUCCCUCUUGUUCGCAAUGGGGCGGAUAGAAUGGAUACAUCAGGUUAUGAUAUAUCGACUACUAUCAUCUCAUCAUCCAGCAUGAGAGAUCAAAUCUCACGUUGUAUUGAUGAUGAGUUAUCAUUGCCUUUUAUGGGACUUGAUGAAAAUGAUGAGACGUUUGAUGUGAGCUCAUUCUUGUUGGAUACUCCUUAUGAGGAGAGUGACAUGAUUGAUAAGAAUAAGGAUGUAUCUGAAAUUCCAAAAGCCCCAGAUCAAGAGGUUUAUAUUCCUGAUGGUGCUUGUUCUAGAGAGUUGAGUGACAAGUAUGUUGAUCCUGCUAAUCCUGAAAUGCGUGAUGGAGUUAUUUGUUGCACUCUAAACACCGAGGUCCUAGAGGUUCCUCAAAAUGACAACGUUUUUCUUUUGCAUUGAUAACAUCAAUGUUUCUCGUGAGUUGUGCCCUAUUCCUGGAAGAGGUGUUGAUAAAUAGAGCAAGACCUUGCUUAUAAGGGAAAUGCUAUGGAUUUCGAUAUAGUCCUAGAGGAAAUUAUAGUAUUUUGCUGAUCCCUCAAGCUCCAAUGCCAAUUCAAUAUGACGUGGGGUCAUAUUGAAUUGACAUUGGAGUUCGGGGGUUUUGCAAAACACCAUAAUUGCCUUCGAGGCCAGGUCGAAAUCCCAUAACUUCGAUGCCUAUUUAGUAUGCAAGAGCAGUCAAGGAAGCUAGAGGAUGUUAAUAGGAAUUUAUGAAGAGAUAUAAGGUAGAAACUGAAUUCCUAAAAAAUCUAUGGUUUUUAGUAUGGAAAUGUUACUUAUCUUUUAAUGUUUAAUGUAAUGUUACUUUCUUAUAAAGAUCAAGUGAGUAUGAAAAUGUUUUAAUUUCUUAGUUUCGUGAAAUGAAUUUUAUAUAAGUGAUAUCAAUCCAUUGUUAUUAUCUUAUUUUCUUCAUGUUUGUGAGUUUAUCGUGAUACGAUGUCUACUUUAUGUCCAAUUUUCAUGUUCUUUAUGAAUCUUUUAGUUCUAUCAUAGAGUAAUGCGGUGCCAAAAUUUAAAUUAUAUGAAUUACAUUUUAAAUUUUAUAGGAUGUCGAAAUUAUGUGUUACACCGUUAGUAAAUAAGUUCCAUUGGAGUAGUGGGGGAUAUAUAAAAGAGAAAUGAAAUUAAUUUGGGUCUAAUUCAAUCCUAAAAUCUACUUUAUGAAGGGAGGAUUGCCCAAAUUGUAUAGAAAGUCUUUCCAACCCUAAAUGAAUGAAUGAUGUGGGACUUUUUUUUUUUUUUUUUUUGGUUAAAAAAGAGAUAUUUUAUUUAUAUAAAUUUCAAAAUAGUUACGUACUAUUUUUCAAAGGCAAGGCCGAAAAGUGGCCACUAGCACUAUCUUCCACAAAUUUUCACAUGUUUGAGCAUGGAAAAGAUUCAAGACUCAUACACGAGGGAACAAAGACAUGAUCAAGUUAAUAUAAUUAUGCUUACUCUAAUUAUAGAUUAAACUCUUAGAUGGAAUGAUGACACGAGUCAAAACAUACCAUCGCAUUGAGACUGCAAUGUAUAGUUGAAAAGGAAUGGAAGUAAAAGAAGUAAUUUCUCAAUUAAGAUAGGUACAUUAUAUGUUUGUCAUCUUGAAGGAUGAAAAUUUGUUACUUUAUCAUGUUGUAAUAAAAUUUAGUAGGUUUAAUAUAAGUUGAUUUCUUUGAAUGAGAGUUUUUAUUAUAAGAUAGGGGCAGCUUUUAGGCUCAUCUUUAAUUUUUCUACCACUUUCAAGAAAAUGUAGUUUUCUUCACUAUUUUCUUUUUUUUUAUAGCUGGACUUUUUUUUUGUGGUUAAAACAGAGAUAUUUUAUUUAUAUAUAAUAUGCAUCAUUACACAAUCAGUGGCCUGAGAUAUUACAGACGUUUAGUUUGUCUACUACAUUACAGACAUCUAGAUUAGCUACUACAUAAUCAUUAGUACUAUCCGAUUGAAGAGGUGGCACUAAUACCUCAAAUCAAACAAAAGAUAAAACUAAUUUAAAAUUCUACUCCGAAAUUAUUAUUCUUACCCCAUCAUAUUAAUUGAUCGUAGUAUGGUUUCUUAAUUAUGAGCAUCCGGGGUUUGACUCUUACCUUUGAUGAUAGUAUGUGAAGUAUUCACUAAAGCGAUAGCCACUGUUCAAAAUUGAACUGUAUAAAAUUUGCUCGCAAGUUUAAGACGUUGUAUAUAUAUAUAUUCACUAAAGCGAUCCUAGUAUGGUUUCUUAAUUUAGUUUUUUUUUUAAAAAAAAUGAUAAUCUACUUUUUGGAGAAUUUUAAGAUUUUAAAUUAUGUUUUGAGAUUUAUUCAAUUAUAUAUAUAAACUCUAAAUUCAAGUUAAAAAUUUAAAUUUAAGCUUCAAAUUGCGUGGCCGGACGCAUACCUAAACUUCUCUUUAAAACUGUUUAAAAAAUAUUUGAUUUGACCUUCAAAUUACAUGUUCAAACUUGUCCUUAAACUUCUCUAAGAAAUGUUUGAUUUUUUUUUAUAAUAAAAGUACAUUUCUUAAUUACAUCUAUAACUCUACUUUUUAUAUCCUUUGAUUUAAUUUUGAAAGUGAGCCUAAAUAAGAAUAAAAAUUAUACAUAAUUAUCAGAAAUAAAAAACGAAAAUCAAUCACUUGUUGAACAUAUCUAGAAAAACUUUAAACUUCACAUUCUAUUUUGACCUUUGAAUUAUAAUUUAAUUAUGUUACCUAAGCACUUAAAUACAUAACAAAAUAUUUAUAUCAGAUAUUUUCGAUUUAAAUUUAAAUUGACAUCUAUUCCUAGCAGUCCAAAUCAUAUUAAUGAGAAUAUUAUCUUCUAUAAAGAGAAACACUUAAAUGUUCGUCCCUCCAAGCUAAUAUAAAUACACAUGCUUGUUAAGGUUAUUUUCACUCACAAAAUAAAAAAAAGUAUUUCCUCUCUUUUAUUCUAAAAAAAAUGGCUAAUUAUUUUGUUUUGUUUUGUUUUUUGAGUUCUAAAACAAUGGGAGUUCUUUCACCUGGUUACGUUCUUCAUGGACUUUUCAAGAGGACUUUAUGCUUAUCCACACUGUUAUGGUAACAAAAAAUAUAUAUUUCUUCUUUUUUUUUUCCACUUGUUUUGAUGAAUUGAGUUUUGAUGGUUUGUUUCUUUAAAAAUUUUAAUUAUUUUUUUCCAGUCAGAAUUUGAUUUUUGUGAUUUCUAUUUGAAGGAUUACUUAAUCUAUGUUACUAUUUUUUGCUUCAUUUGAAAUUCUGCGUCGAUAACAUUCCUUUUGAGCCAAGAUAUAUCGAAACAAUUUCUCUUCCCCUAUGAAGAUAGAGAUAAGGUCUAAAGCUACCAUGCCUAUUCAGUAUGACCCUAGUACACGUUAAUUAGAAGUAUGUUAAGAAAGUCAAUAAUGAACAAGACUACACUGAGUGAGUGUGCCGUUGUUAUUUGGAAGAUAUUGUUGAUUUACUAGUUCCUUUAUGGUAAUUAACACUAAUGGAGGAAAAAUUUACUUAUGAAUGUAAUCAUUUUUCUAUAAUAUAUCUAUCUUUUAACUUUUAUAUUAUACUUGCCUCUAUUAACACUUUGGCGUUUUUUUAAAUUAAUUUGUAGUAUUCAAUAGUUUAAUCUAAAACACUCUUUUAGUUGCUAAUAUUAUUAUUAGAUAUUUUUGUCUGAAAAUUGCUUGCUACUCACCAAACUAAACACGAGAAAUUAUUAUUGAGGAAAAUAGUUUUCAAGAAAAACGUUUUCUAUGGAAAAUGACUUUCGUCAUAACAUAGUUAAUGGCUCCUAACCUAAAUGUUGAUGAGUGAUGACUUGAUUGUAGUUAAAUAAGUCAUUACAUGUCCAACUAACAUCACUCUUAACUUUGGAUCUGAGCUCUUGCAUUGUUUUUCGAGGCUCUCUAAUGGUAUAGUCGAGGUACAAGCAAGGUUGUGCACUAUUAUCACAAGAAAUGAAUAGAAUUUAUAAGUUUUUUGGAACACUCUCAAAAAGGUGCUAACAAGUGCAUGUCUUGAGAGUCUUUUAAUAGCUUUUCAAGUGUUUUCAUAAAAUUAUUUUCGUUUACUAUGAACUCUACUGCAGAAGCUAUUUGUUGAUAAUAUAUAAAAAUGUCAUCUUUAUCCUAUUUGGACUUAAAAAAGAAGAAGAAAUCUUCUUUAUCAUAAAAAAAAUAAAUAUAUGCAAGUCUGACUCUCUAUUGAAAACACAAUAGUCAGCACCCACAUGUGAUCAUGCAGAAGACCUAGAUCCCCAAAAAGAAGCUUCAAUUCUAUUCAUUCUUUUUAUCUCUUGACAUAGUUAUAUAUAUUAAUAUUCUGCUUCGAUAAACUUAUUUUUUUAGUUGAGAGUCUAUCGAAAAUUACUUCUUGACUUCACAAAGAUAGUGAUUGGAUAUAUUGUUGUCAUAGUUGUUAUUGUACAGUUAUAUUAAUAGCCUAUUCAAUCCAAAAUGAGUUGGAUUGACUAUAUGAAUUCUUAUUAUUUCGUUUAACUUUGUCUCAAACUAAUAAUAUAUGAGAUUUCUUUAUAUAUUUUUAUCGAGGUAUAAAUCUCUAACAUGAAAAUACUUAAAGAACAAGAUUACAAUAUAUCUUAAUUAAUUAGUAUCGUCUACAACAACACAUACCUAGUAUCUCACAGUCGAUAAUAACAAGAUUACAAUAUAUCUUAAACAAUUCAUGAUGAAUUAAUUGUUUCAUGUUAUUACUCUCCACGUUCAUUUCUAGAUCCAAAAGCUCAUAAACCUAAACCUAGAAAAUGAAAAUGCAGUUUUUUCUUCAUUUUUUUUCAUUUUUCAUCUUCUUUGUAUUAUUAGCACAAUGCAAAACUCAUCCUAUUGAUAUACAAGGACUUCAAAAUCUCAAAAAUGGAAUAAACCCAAAAUCCAUUAAACCCGGUUCAUGCUUAAACUCAUGGAACUUCACUAUAGACCCAUGUGAUCACAUUUUCACCGACCGGUUCACCUGCGGUUUCCGCUGUGAUCUCAUCGUCUCCGGUUUUUAUCGAGUCACUGAAAUCAGCCUAGACCAAGCCGGUUACUCCGGUUCAUUGCCUAAUUCAUUCAACCUCCCUCAUCUCGAGAUUUUAGAUAUGUCGUAUAAUUCCCUCUCCGGUUCAAUCCCGAAUUCAUUUUCAAAUCUAACUCGUCUCCGGCGGCUCAGUCUUUCGAAAAACUCGUUCACCGGUCCAGUUACUUCUUCUAUCGGUUCUCUAUCCCGUUUACAGGAACUAUUUCUCGAUAACAACAAAUUCACCGGUUCAAUCCCGGAAAGUUUUAAUGGUUUAAUCAAUCUGAAUCGAUUCGAGCUUCAACAAAACAAUAUCUCCGGUGAGUUACCUAAUUUGAAUCAGCUCGGAAAUCUGAUCUUCUUAGAUUUAAGCAAUAACAGACUCGCCGGAAAUUUCUUCACGACAAAUUUACCUGAUUCGAUGAUUGAACUCUCAAUACGCAACAAUUAUUUACACGGCGAGUUUCCGUUGAACUUCGAAGAGUUGAAGUUCCUACAGGUGUUAGAUCUGAGCCAUAAUUUGUUUUCCGGGAUGAUUCCGGCGGUGUUAUUUCAUCACUCAUCUCUUCAGCAGCUUACACUUUCUUACAAUAACUUUACGUUUUUGCAAGUGCCGGAAGAUUUAGUGCUUCGAAGUAAGCUUAUAGCUAUUGAUCUGAGUUACAACAAUUUGCAUGGCUUAUUGCCGGCGUUUAUGGCAUCGAUGCCGGAGCUGUCGGCUCUGAAUUUGGAGCAUAACAAGUUUACCGGCGUGAUACCGAUACAGUUUGCAGUAAAAGUUGUGGCUCCGAGGAAUCAUACGGCGUCGUUUGAGAGGUUAUUGCUGGGUGGAAAUUAUUUGUUUGGGCCGAUUCCUGGGCCUUUAAUGGGCCUAAAGCCUGGUUCUGGAAAUAUUAGUUUGGUGGAUAACUGUUUGUAUAUGUGUCCAGAUUCGGUAUACAUUUGUCAUGGUGGGUAUCAGAAGUCUUUAUUGGAUUGUAAAAAGUUUGGGCCUAGGAUUCCUUGAGUUGUGUUAGGCCCAAAAUGGAAUCAUGUAAGCCCAUUUGUAUAUCUUUGACCAAUGUUUUUAGGACUUAGGUAUACUUUACAGCUUUAAUUAUAUAAAAAUAAUGGUGGUUUAUCUAUUAACAAUAAAGAACUAAAUGUUAAUUUUGUGGCCUUUUAUAUAAGGUAAAGAGGCUUGCAAGUUUUGUCUUUUGAAUUUUAAAGCUUGUAUGAGGUUUACUUCAUUGUGUUCCUCUUGUAGUAUCGAUGGAGGAUCAAAAAUUUACUCGACUCCAUAUAUUUGUAACAUAGGUAAUAAUAUUAUUGGAACUCAUUUGAAUAUAAUUAACUCGUUUACGUGCACCCUUGUGAAUCAAUCCAUUAAUACAGUUGGUGCUAAAAUAUGAAUUAAGGGUGUAAUUACUUUUCUACAUAUUAUUAAUAAUAAUAAUAGACUCCAAAUUACAAAAGAGAGGAUGCAAAAUGCGAAGAACCACUAAAGAUAAGUACUACUACAUAUUCUUCAAGAUAUUUUAGCAGUAGUAUUCAACUAGGAUUAGGGCACUACCUUUUUUAACGAUCUAUCAGUGUAGUUUGACUAGUCUAAAAUUUGAGAAAAAGGGUCAAGAAAUGGUCAUCACAUCAAGUGUUUAUUUUACUUUUUUGUUGAUUACACGUUUUCUCUUGUGACAUCUAAUAUACCAAGAACAAAAGCUUAUUUUUUCAUAAAAUCGAAACUUUUAUUUUAAUUUUGGAAUUAAGUAAUUACUAAUACUUUGUAUAGUACAAUGCUAAAUGAUGAAAUCAAAUUUAACUUGGACGUCUGGUUCACAAAAUUUAAUCUAAUAAACUAUACAUCACAUAUAAAAUUUUAGGAUGUAGAAAAGUUGUAGAAAAUACUCCUUUAAUUUACCUUGUUAUAUACCUUCAUUAAUUAAUAUUUUUCAUAUCGUCAAAUCAUAAAUCAUGGAACAGGAAUAGAACAAGGACAACUCUUCUUGUUGUAGAACAAACAGUGACAGCGUUUUUCAUGGCGAUGACUCUUUUCUUCAUGAGUGCAUUAACGUUCGCAUUAAUUUGCUAAAAUUUAUCACAUACUAACGUUCACAGGAUUCAUGGAAUGUACACAAGAACAUGAUUAAACUAUAACAAUAAACACGGUAUUUUAUUUAUUUUAUUUUAUUUCUCAUUUGGUGGCUGAAAUAGCUAUAGUUGAGCCGUGAGUGGUACAAAUUUUCUGUGUUGCGGAUUGCAAACGUAUCAUGCAUUUUCUUCUAGUAGAUAGAUUAUUGAUUUGUUAAUUGAUAUUUCUUGUGUUGAUUAUUGUUAAGCAUGCCUCAAGUCUAUUGCGCCUCGUAAGGCGCAUAGGUACCCGCGCUUUGUUAUCCUAAUUUAAGUGUUAUCCACUCUACAGUUUAAAUGUUAUCCUUUUGAUUUUAAACUUAUUUUUGUUGUCCUUUUAGAAUUUUUGAUCAACUUUUUUGCUCUUUGGCUCCGGACUCGUUAGUUGUACAAUCUAUUUGAGGAGUAUUAAGUUAUAUACAAUUAACACAUGAAAAUUCAUGGCAUUAGUAAUGCAAGAGUUUUAAAAUUUAAUACAUUCAUUAACAUAAUUAAAGAAACAAUUGUCCCUCAAAUCAUUUUCACAACCAUUCUACACCCUCCGUCCCAUUCUAGUUAACCGUUUGUUUUAACACGUAUAUUAAGAAAUCAUAAAUAAGAAGAUAAGUAAACUAAUUCACCCCUUAGAAAAAUAUUGGAAAUUUUACAAACAAAUAUAAACAUUUUCAAAAAGAAUUAAUUGUAAGGGUAUUAUAGGAAAAGUUUAAUUAAUGUUUCUUGAUUUAGUAAGGUGGACAACUAAAUGAGACAACUAUUUUUAAUAAGAUAAUCAACUAUUGUGAGACAACUAUUUUUAAUAAGAUAAUCAACUAUUAUGAGACAAAGAAAAUAUCAUAUUUGUGGAAGAUAUUUUUAUAAACAAAUAUUUUGUAGAUGAGCUACAAUAAUUUGCAUGACUUAUUGCCUGCAUUCAUGGCGUCGAUGCCCCAACUCUGAAUUUAGAGCAUAACAUGUUUUCCGGCAUGAUAAUUAUGUCUUAUUUGCUUGGGCCUAUUCUUGGGCCUCUACUGGCCUAAAACCCGAUUCUGAUGAUGUUAAUUAAGUGGAUGUGUGUUUGUAUAUCAGUAUAGAUGUGUAUAUUGUCGGGUUGAUUCGGGUUUUUCAAAUAUCAAACCAAAUCAUUUGUGUGGUGUGACAAUUUGUUAUGAUUUAAUUAAAAGAACUUAAGCAAAAAAAUUAUUUAUCCAGAUAGUAAUAGUGGGAGCGAAACUAGAUUGGGGAUCUGAUUGAGCCUUUAUAUAUAAAAAUGAUAAUAUUAAUAACAUAAAUUAACUUGUCGUUUCAAAGAUACUUUGAAGUGGUAAUCGGGCUCCAAUGGUCUUACUACAACUUCAAACUACACCUUACAUUAGUUUGACCCAAUUGUCAUAAUUUUUGCGUUCUUUAUGUUAUAGUGGGAUCUAAUCCGAUAUAGCGAAACUAGACUGGAGAUCUGAUUGGGCCUUUAUAUAUAAAGAUGAUCAAAUUAAUUACAUUAAUUACCAAUGAUAAUAUCGACUAGUCCAAAAUUUGAGAAAAAGGGUCAAGAAAUUUUAGAAGUAAUUAUUUAGGGGCCGUUUGGCCAUAGAUUUCCCAAGUAAAACUUGGGAAAAAUUUGGCAAAUAUUGUUUGUCUAUACACUUUCUCAUUAUUUGGCAAAUUUUUUUGGCAAAUAACCCAAAUUCCCAAAUACUAGUUUUUUCUAGUAUUUGGGCCAAAUCUCAUUAUUUAGGAAAGUUUUAAAAAUUCAAAUUUAACACAAACUUUUAUCUUUUACAAAAACACUUUAUUUAUUAACACCAACCAACUCAAUCAAAUCUCCAUCUGCUAACUAACUCAAUUAAUAAUUUUUUCUAUUAUAAAGAGCAUACAUGUACAAGAGCUUUUAUACCCAUGCAUCUUUUUUAACGAUGCGACUAUUUACUGUAAUGAUGCUUUUUGAUUUUGUUGCGGAAGUCAUGAAUCUUGUUACGCGACAUUUCUAUUUUGCUAUGUAAUACAAAUUUAUGGUUAGUUUUGAUAGUUUUAAAAACUUAUGGGCAUAAGUCAUAUUUCUUAAAAAAUUGAAAUAUAUUUCCCAAAUACUAUGGCCAAACACAUGGUGAAAUUUCACCCAAAUCUUCACCCAAAUAAUAUUUGCCAAAUAUAUUUGGAAAUCUAUGGCCAAACGCUAGCUUAAUUUAAAGCUAAUAAGCAAAUCCUCUUUAUUUAUUUAUUCCAUAAAGCUACAAAAGUGAUUUUUUUUCUUCUUCUCAUUAAAAAUUUAAAUAAAUUUUAGAAAUAAUUGUUUAAUUUAAAGUUAAUAAGCAAAUCCUAUUUAUUUAUUUAUCCGUAAAUCUACUAAAAGUGAAAAUGAUCUAUAUAUAGUUUCUUUUAAUAUUAUUAAAAGAUCUUAUAUGAUUGCGAUUUUAUGUGAUUGCGCAAUCAGAUGAUAUGUUUCCGUAUAUAUAUAAUUCAGAAUAUUUGUAAUUAAAUGUAAAGAUAUGUUUCCUUAGUUAUAGAACUGGUACAACUUGUAUAUAACAUUGAGAUGUAUUAUCAAUAAAGACAUUCACUCGAUUAAUCUUAUUUUACAUGGUAUCAGAGCCAAAAAAAAAUUUGUUCAACAAAAGAAAGCAUACACGCAACAACUUAUUACAAACUAUUUUCACACGAUUGAUCAUUCAACUGAGACAUUAAUGAUGCCUAGUAACCUAAAUUAAUUAUUAUCUCGUAUGAUCAGUUUUACUAUUCAUCUAAAUAUGAGAUGUUUAUUCAUAUUUAAUGUAAUUUCUUAAAAGUGAAAAGAGUGUUGCAUGUCUUUUAUCAUGUGCUCAUAAGAUAUACUAUGUUAAUAUUUAUUCAAAUAUUUGCACUAUAAAAAUAAUUAUAUAUAUAUAUAUAUAUAUAUAUAUAUAUAUAUCUCGAAUACUUAGAUAAUUUAUUUUUUUGACGAAUCAUAUGUAUAUGUAAAAUGAAGAUUGUAGGAAGCUUGAAAUAACCUUUUUUUUGUUUGUUUUUGAAAAACUAUGAAAUGAUAAAAUACACUACAUUAAAUGUCAAUAACAGAAUAAGUAUAUUGCAGACCAACAACAAAUUUGCAGUUUUGAAAUUUUCAUUUUAAGCUUUUAUUUUUUAAACUAAUUAAAAAUCACUUUAUUCAUAAUUUUUGAAUUUUUUAUCAAAUAACUUACAAUUUUCAAGCAAAGCAAAUAGUGAACAACAAGUAAGAGCUGACAAGGUACUUUUGUUGAGUAAAAUUUGAUUUAGUUUAAUUGUGCAUGAAAUUUGUUUUAAAUUUUUUCUCAACUUUCAAUGUUGUUGUAGUAUAUAUUCGAAAGGAAAGCAUAGAAUAGAAAGAAAAAAAAUUCUUCAUCUAAAAAUUCUAUAAACUGUUUGUAUAGUUUUUUCUCUGUUUAAUAACACAUGUUCAAUGUUAACAUUUUUUUUUUCCGUUAUUUGCAGAUUAAUUGUCACUACUAUGGCCUGUAAUGAUCCAACUGCCAUUUCAAAGUAUAUCUUUCGUUUGUUUGACCUAAUUGUCGUAAUUCUUCCGUUCAUUUUCUGUUGUUUUGUGUGGCUUGGAUUGAUAUAUAACUACAUGUUUCAUACCCUUUUAUUAGCUUUCUCUAUAUAUUUAAUAUAACUGGGGAAGAUUUAGCAAUGACUAGGAGUCAAUUCGCUACAUUAUUUUGAUAUUUGCGACAUUAUUUUGCACUAUUAUUAUAACAUUCACAAAUGUUUAGUGAAAUGUGCGUAACAAGAUGCCAUGCAUAGAAAAAGAAAGUGGUUAAGAUACAAAAUAAUCGACCUAUUCUUGUUGCACAGAAUCAAAACUGGUUUGGACAAUAUAUAGUGAAUGAAUUCAUAAUUCUUUUAAUUACUAUUAAAAACUGUUCAUGGGAAGAUAAAAUGAGAAUCAACGCAAGUGUCGCUCAGUUUCGACUUCGUACAAUAAAUAUUACAUCAAAGAUAAAGUAAUUAAUAAUUAUAGGUUAUUUUUCUUUAUUUUUAUUAGUCAUGAUUAUUACUAAUAUUUUUCCUGUUUGAACUAAAUUAUGUCAUUGUGUCUGAUCAUAAUGAGAGAUCAUGUGUUACUGUGGUUGAACUAGAUUCUAUUAUGAUAAUUUUCUUUAUUUUUAAAAGUUAUUUAGAUUGUAUUUUACUAAACGUUUUGAAUAACUUUUACUUUAUUAACUAUAUUUAUUUUCAAAUGCAGAUUCAAAAAAAUGUGAUUACACUACUAAACAACAUACGAAAAACGAUAGCCCAAUUUGAUCCAAAUCAAUGAAAAAGUGACAUAGUCAAGUUCGACGCUUUUUAGCUCGAUAUUUUUCAAAAAGCGAAGGACAGUGUCGCAAAAAAGCGACGGACUACGUCCCUUUUUUACAAAAAAAUAUUUUCUUAAAUAAUACGACGCCGUCCAUCGUUUUUUUGUAAUUUUUUUUAUUUCCAAAAAGUGACGCGUUCGUCGUUUAUUUUCAAUAAUUUUUUUAAAUCUUGAAAAUCGACGAAAAAAGAGACGCCGUCUGUCGCUUUCAUUAAUUUCAUUUUUUAAAAUAUUUCAAAAGGCGACUUCAAAUUACACCUUUCGUUGGUUUAACCUAAUUAUAGUAAUUAUUGCGUUCAUUUUCUGAUGUUUUUUGUGGCUUGGAAUCAUAUAUAAAUACAGGCAGGUGCGGAGUCACCUUGUCCCCAGGGUGUCCAAUUGAACAACCUUCGUUGAAAAAUUAUGCGAUAUAUACACGUAAAAUUUUGACUUAUAUUGGAAUAGAUUAUAUUUUGGACAUCCUAAAAUAACAAAGUAACUCGUAGUGAAAAUGACUAGAGCUGUCGCAAAUUAUAUCACAAUAUUAUUAAAAAUAGAAUCUCUAUAAAUCAUCGAUUUUUUUUUUAAAAAAUUACUAUUCAAAGUUUGGACCCCCUAAAUAAAAUUUCUGGCUACGCCACUGAAUACAGGUUUCGUACCAUUUUGAUUAGUUUUCUCUAUAUAUUUAAUAUAACUGGGAAGCUUUAGCAACGACUAGGGGUCAAUUCAUUACGACACUUGCAUAAAAAGAUACACCUUGCUAUUUUGGUAUUUGCGACAUCAUUUUGCACUAUUAUUGUAACAUUCACAUAUGUUUAUUGGAAUGUGAUAGCAAAAUGUCCAUGCAUGAAAAAAAAAAGUUGGUUAAGGUACGGAAUAAUCCACCUAUUCUUGUUGCACACAAAACUAGUUUGGAAAGUAUAUAGUGAAUGAGUUGAUAAUUUUUUUUAAUACUAUUAAAAUAUGUUCAUGGGAAGAUAGAAUGAGGAUCAGUGCAAGUGUCGCACAGUUCAGACUUCGUACAACAGAGAUUACAUCUAGAAUUGAUUAUACUUCUUUUGCGCAUACUUUUCUAUGGUAUUUCAGUUGUUCCAUUGAUUUUGACAAUGAUUUGUUUUGCGAAAAAGACUUUUUGCUAUUUCAAUUAGCCACAAGAUACAAUUAGUUGUAUACUUGUGGUGAUUACGAAAGGAAAUCAUAUGAUUAGGUGGUUCAUGUUCCUCCUAUUAAUGUUCUGAUUUCUGAUUAUUGGGUAGAUGUUGAAAGGAUAGGUAAUGAGGUGGAGCGUGUUCCUUCUGCUGAUCUUUUGAGUUCUGAUUUUUGAAGAAAGAGUGUAAAUGUCAAAAAGAAUUUUAAGAUAUGAUCUAUUUUUAUUUUUUUACAACGAUAUUAUCAUAUUUUAUCAUUGUAAUAUUAACUGCGUUUUGAAUUAAUAAGUGAAGGUAAUUUCGAGAACGUUUGGCAUGUGGUCCUGCAAUUUUUGUAGACUUCUUGGAAUAACGAAACAUUCCACAAUGAUGGAAAUGUGGUAUCCAAGAACUGUAAUUGAAAAUUCGAUUUGGUAUUUUCCUCAACUUAUCACUAUUUUCAAAACUCAAAAAUAUUUAAAAGUAAAUGUAACAUGGUAAAUCAUAAUUAAAAAAUAGUGUUAUCAAGUGGGUCAAAUCAAAGGGACAUUUAUAAAAUUGAGCAAAAAAUUAAAGUAAAUGUAAUAUGACAAAACACAAUAAAAUUUAGUGUAAUCAAGUGUGCCAAAUUGGGGGGACAUCUAUAAAAUUUUGCGGACGAGUCAGAAAUUUAUAGAAGGAUCCAAAAACAAAAAAAAUUGUUAAUUUUAACACAGUGAAUGCUCAAUCUAAAUUAGUGACCUAAAUUCAAAAAUAAAGUGAAGGCCUAACUUUUAAUUAUUCUUUUAUAUAUGAGAUUCAGAGUUAAUUCUUUCUUUUUAAUAACAAUGUUUUAUACAAAUAAAUUAAAAUAUAUAGUAUAAUUUUAUUUUUUUGUUAAAAAAGGUUCAUAUUAAUUUUAUUAUUACUAAGAAAUCAUGCCAUUCGGAUUUGGAGAGUUGCCUUAUUUUUAAAGGCAUUAAGAUGCCCAUGUUUUAUCAUUAGCUUGAUUUAAAAUCAAAUUGAAAAAUCUUGUAGUUAGAAGCUAGGGUUUCUAUAAUUCUUUUUUUUUUGUGGUCGAUAAGAGUAGUUUCAUAUAUAAAAAAUUAUAAUUGAUGUGGGCCUAGAUUACUUUAAAGCUUAAAAUGUUACUCAGAAUAAUGUAUUAGGUUGAAAACGUUAUUGUUAGUAAAAUUUCUAAACUUAACUUCGUCAACCACAAUAUUUCACAUAACUGGAUUUUUUAAAACAAAAUAAACUCUAAAACGUUACUGAGAAAUAUGUUUAUACUAGUUUUGUAAAAAAAAAUUAAAACGUACUAUUUUGGGUAAUUGAUUUAAAUAAUGACUUAGUUUGGUAAAUAAUUCACAAAGACCCAGCAAUGUGUUUCAUGGAAAGCAGACGUCAAGACAUACGAAAUAUUCCAAGAACAAUUCCAUUCUCAGGAACAACAGUCCAAAUGCGUGAACACGAUGUCAACAUUUUCAAACGGUGAAUUCACAGAAAGUUAUUGUCGUCUUCUUCCUUCCCCUCGACAACAAUACAUUUGAUCAAGAUCGUCCAACCCACUCGAUUUGUUAAAGAAUGGUUGAUUUUCCGUACGAAUUUCAGCUUAUUCCUGGAGAAUUUUGAAUCUCAAAAGGGAAUUGGUCCCUUUCCUAUCCAAAAAUUUUCACCCUAAAAUGAAUCCUAUUUUCUUCUAUAAAUAGUCAUUUGUUCUUCAUUGUCUAGGAUUGACAUUUUUUCUUAACCGAGAUAUUAAGAGUAGUUUAAGGAAAUAGUUAAAAAAUACAAAUGAAAAUACAGCAGAAAAGGCUAAGAAAAAUUAGUUUCAGUCUGAAGAUCACUCUUCUAGCUCAUUCACAUCUCUCCCCAAGUUCGUUUGAGGUCGAGAUCCUUCCUGGGUCUAUUGCUUGUUGUUCGAGUUCGUGUUUGUGUGGUAGAAGUUGUUGUUCUCCAAGCUCGUUUGUCUCAGUUUCUACCCUACGAAAGUCAAUAUCCUUAUUUAUAUUUUUCGCUUUUCCUUUUGAAUGACGUGUGUUUGUUCUAAUUUCUGCUCAACUAGUUCUAUUUAGUAUUGUUGUGAAAUUGUUACAUGUUCUUGAUAUAGUGGUGAACAUAAAUUGAAUGACCAUUAAACAUUCUUAAUGUUGUUGGAUUCUUUCCUUUUGCUACUGUUAGUGAAUAUCUUUGUUAUAGCAGUCUUGUUAGGAUCUUUUGCUCAAGUCACUUUAAGUUUUACUCCUCUCAUCUGAUUCUUCACUUGGUUCGCUUGUGUAGUUAGAGUCUGGUGUUGGUUGUUUAUUGUUUAGUUUUCAAUUUUAGUAAACUUUGAGGGUUGGUCGUUAGACUUUAAAUGUUUGGAUUAAUGCAAUUUUCUACUUAUUGAAGUUUUAAUGUUGACUAGUAACACUAAUCUCUCAAGUGGUUUGGUUCGCUUUGGAGUUAUGUUUUCCUCAACAGUACAUGAGAUCCUUUACAUGUUAAAUGUUGUGGCUCAUUUUUUCUUCGUUAGUUGUUGGUUGUCAUCUCGCUUCUUUUUUAUCUAGUGUUGUGUUUUGGAUAUUUAGGUUAGCUCAAUCGUCUUAAUAAGUGUCUGGAAGUUUUGCCUACAUUUUGGUUAUUUUAAAAUGUCUCAGUCUCGCAUAUCGACAUGUUAGUAUGAUAGAGUCAGAGCUAUCAAAUGUUACCUUCUUGGUCAUCUCUAUGGUCUAUAUGGUUUGUUUGAACUAAAUAGCUUAGAUGGUAAAUUUGUGAGUUGAUUCUUGUGUAAGUUUUUCUUUUCUUUGGAUUCAAAUAUCUCAUUAUGAAGCUUGUAUUCUCUUUAGUGUGUAUAGCGUGAAAGAUUUCACAUGUUUGUUAGAAUAUAAAGGUAAAUUUGUCGGGUAUUAUUCUUUUCUGAUAUUUGGUCCAUGUUCUGCUGCCUCUUCUUUAUUUGCAGCACCUAUUUGACCAUUAUGUGUGUCAAACAUUGUUGGUUAUCUCUAAUAAAGAAGAAGUAAUGUGUUUGGUACAAUAAUUGCAUUAGAAUAUGAAUUUAUUGUUGUUCAUUGAUACAGUUUUAUGGUAAUAGCUUGCAAGCAUGUUCUAUUGUUACUGUUUUAUGAAGCUUUUUACUACUUUUGAUUUUUUUUGAGUUGUCAACUUAGCUAUUGUUUUAAGGAUUAAUGGCAUGUAUUUGUUGUUAUUUACACAUUUUGUUAUUUAACCAUUUGAUAGUGUCCAACUCUUAUCUUUUUUCCUAUUAAUAAGGUGUAUGACAAAGCUGCCACAUUGAUACUUAGUCUUAAAUGAUAUUUGCCUCUCUUAGCCCUUUCUGUAAACUUUAUUGUUUUUCCAAUAUAUCUCUAUGUGAUCUUCUUUGACUGGAUUACUUGUUAAUCUUUCUGAACAAAUGUGUAUAUUUCUAUAAUUUGGCAUCAUACUCUUUUCAUUAUUUAUUGCCAUUGGAUCGCAUUUUAACUCAUUUACCUUUCUUUCUUUGUGAUACACGGAAAUUCGCCUCGGGUCCUCAUGAACUUUUCUCCUAUCAUUGCAUCCACUAGUUGGGCCAUAAAUGUCCAAAUUCACUUGCUUGCCCAAGUCAGCCCUUAAUUACCAGCGAUGGAAUUGAAAGUACAGAUCCAAGAGUCGAAAUUGAAGCUGAUAUACAAGAAUAUACAAAAAUAUACACUAAAUGUAUAUGCUAUAUAUUGUGGCAGAUUUGGGCUAAAAGCCCAUCUCUUUUUUAGCUGUAUUUUGUUAUUUUGGGACUAAGCCCCCUUUGAUUUUUAUUUUUAUUAUUAUCAUUUUGUUAGUUUAGGACAGGUGGAUGAUGGGCCCAAGACCCAAAGUAAAAUCAAAUUCAGGAUUAGUCUAGGACAUGUAUUAAGCAUUGGGCCUUUGGUCUCAAAAUAAAAACUAGGCCCAAGUGCUGGCUCAAGCAGACAUAAAACCAGAUUGGGCCCAAACAUCUCUCCCUUUAUUAUCUCUACUUUAUAUUUGUUUAUGGGCAAACUACAUAAAUCCCUUUAGUUUAGAUCCUAAUUACUAAGAUUCCCAAUAGUUUCAAAUAUUACUUCAUCUACCAUAUUUGGUGCUUCGGAUACAUCAAUCUGAAUUCGCGAGAUACAUGUAUCCGUCGAAUUUUUAAAAAUCGAGAUACAUAUUUUAUUUGUUUAAAUUAAUUAGUUGUAACUUAUUUCCUUAAUUAGAGGAUUAAUUGAGAUACAAAUAUCUACCAUAUUUCGUGCUUAGGAUACAUGAGUCUGAAUCCGUGAAAUACAAGUAUUUGUCAAAUUUUAAAAUCGAGAUACAUAUUUUAUUUAUUUAAAUUAAUUAGUUGCAAUUAAUUUCCUUAAUUAGAGGAGUAAUUGAGAUACAUGUAUCAUCACUCGCAAGAUACAUGUAUCAUUACUCGCGAGAUACAUGUAUCCAUCGGUUUAAAAAGUCAAGAUACACCAUUUAUUACUUUGAAUUAAAGGAGUGUAACUUAUUUCCCUAAUUAAAUGAUUAAUUGAUGAAUAAUUAACAACUCAAACGGAUUUACAAAAUCCUUGCGUAUCAACUCUCACAAGUUUUCCUGAAAUAACAAAAUCAUAAACCAUGGUAAUUCUAUAAUUAUAAACUUCAUCUUCUUCAUCAAUUCCUUCAUUUGUAUCUUAAAGUUUCGGCUUGAAUGUUCGCAGAUGAAGACCCUGCAAUGAAAAAAAAACAUAAUUUGUAAAAGUUUAUAAAAUAAGACCCUGCAAUGAAAAAUGACCUAUGUUGUAAAAGUUUAUAAAAUCAAACUUUAUAGCAAUAUAAAUUUUUAUCUCAAAUACAUUAACAUGAUGUAAACCAAGAUACAUGACAAUAAUGAAAAAAUGUAGAAAUUUUGUUGAAGUUGAGGUAUGUUAUAGAUGGUGGUGUCGAGGUCCACUUUAUUGCAUUGAGGAAUUUGUAGAUUAGAGCUUACCUCUGUAUUGUGAAUUCAAUGAAGAGAACAUCUGCAAUGCGGCACACCUUUUUUUAUGGAACAAGAAGCACACUAAACAAUUUGAUUUCAAAUUUAAUGAGAAAAUAAGGAGUUUAAAUAAAGAAAUUUAAAUUUUAAGAUAAUUAUUCAAUAUCAUAUUUUAAGGGAUUUGUGUAUCUAAAUAAAAUCAUUGAAAAUAUAUGGUAUAAAUAUUAAAAGUGGUAUUAUGUGUAAUUUUCUUAAACUGGAGAUAAAGUAAGUAUAUAUGAUGAGAAAAUGGCCAAAUUCCCCCUCAAUCUAUAACCAAAUUCUCAACUACACACUUAUAUUUUUAUGAGAGUCCUAUUACCCCCCUUUGGACUAAUUUUAAAGCGAAAUAUAUACCACCCUAAAACUAGAGAACCACAUUCUUCGAAUGUGGUGUGCACACGCGCUACAACUGUCAAAUGCCAUAUAUUUUUUUAAAAAAGAAGUAAAUGUUGUUCUUCUUCUUCAUUGCCAACAUCAUCUUUACUCUUCUCUUCUCCAUAUUGUUGAGACAUGUUUUUAAUUCUUUUCACUGUAAACUCCCCUAAACCUUAUUUCCCUCCACCCCAUUUCUCCCUAGUCACCCCACCCCCAACCCUCACCCUCGUCUUCCAUAACCCACAAAUUAGAUCUCAAUCCAAGAUCCAUAUCAACACUUAUCAUCUCUUUUUCGGGUAAAAGAAAUCAACAAUAUUAUUUAUCAACAACAUCACCAUCACAACAACAAUUUUAUCAAGUCAUUUAGACCAACCCCUUCACCUCUCCCACCCAAAUUCUGCAAUUUUGGCACCAAUUUCAAGUUCGAAGUUCUUGCUAAUCGUCUUGGACUUAAGUACGACUACGCCCUUUUGAUUCCUUCUUUAAAUAGUGAAGGAUUUAUGCCUUUUGAACUUAAGGAAAUAAUUUGGAUUAUCAGGGUUGAGCAUAAUCGACCGGUGGUUGUUGCUCAAGUUUCUAAAAUCGUUAUUGGGUGUAGUUUGAAUUCUUCAUUGAACAAUAAUAGAGAUUAGAGAUAAGAUCUGAAAGUUGGUGAAUUUUAUUAGAGUGAAGAGAUUAAAGACGAUUUAAUUUUAUUCACUAUAUGAGUAAUAAUUUUAAUGCUUAUUUGGUGAUUUCAAUGGUGAUUUACAAUGUUAAGAAUUGUGAGUAAAUAGUGAGACAAAUAAUGAGAAAGUAUUAAAAGAUGGGUGAAGAGAUGGACUGCUAUGAUAGUGGACUAGUGGUAGUUCAACAAUGGUGAUGAAGAACAAGUACAAAUGGGGUGAUUUUUUUUGAGUAAUAAGAGAGAGGAGGGGCCGGGGGGGGGGGGGGGGGGGUAGAAAAAAUAAAAAAAAAGACAAAAAAAAACGAAAGACAAAAGUAAAAAAACUAUAUUUAAAAAAAGUCAUAAAUAUUUUUAUCAGUUUUUUCAACUUUCACAUGCCUUUAAGAGAGUGAACACACUCUCUGUGCCAUGUCAGCACUUAAGGGUGCAUUUAUACCACUUUAAAAUAGUUCAAGGGGGUAAUAGGACUCCUGUAAAAUAUAAGUGUGUAGUUGAGAAUUCGAUUAUAGGUUGAGGGUGUAUUUGACCAUUUUCUCUAUAUAUGAUAGUGAAGUAUGUCUUAUAACGUAGUUUUUCCUUUGUUUAUUUGUUAUUAUUUGCCAUCAAUUUUAAGGUUUGAAAAAAUCUAUUCCCCAAAGAUAACCAUUUUAUGUUAAUUAUUUAAAACUAAGUGAAUACUUAUUUUCUACUUAACUUUAGAAUAUUUAGAAUAUUUUACUUAAGUUUAUCCUUACAAUAUUUCCCUCAUACCUAAAAUGUUGCUAAGUCUUAAGUUUGUUUAUUUCUAAACUAAUCAAGCAUGCUUAUUUUCAAAUAAUUAGAAAACUAUUUUAAUUGCUAGAUAACCGUAAGUUAGCGGAUGUUUUAGGUGCCUUUGAAACCUUCCUAAAACAUUAAUAUGAACCCCAGAAUCUUUAAUAUUUUUAAUUGAUUUCUGUUUUAAUCUUUUGAAAAAUUAGUUUUUUUAAUUUCCCUUUAAAAAUUAAGUGGCGACUCUCCUAUUUUUAAUUAAAUAAAACAGAAUGGCGACUCCGUUGGGGAUUUGAACGGAUUCUAACCUUAAAAUAAACUUAUUUGGCUAUUUGUUUAAUUCCUUACUUGUUUCAAUUCUUGUAUUAUAAACUGUAGCAUUUCAUGACAUCUACUCUGCCAAAUGACAAAUAAUUUGCAUUAGAAAAAGGGUGGUUAUCCGCGGUCAUCCCUUCAGAAAAGCACCUUCUAAUUCUUUUGGAAUGAAAAACAAAUAGUUGGAUUGUGAUCAUCCAACAUCGUUUAUUAUCCUUCACCCCACAAUUUGUCCAACUCAGGUAAUCAAGUCUUGUCUAAAUCAAUUCUAGUCAACCUAGAGUAGAGCGAAAAUAAAUCUAAAUUUAAGCAUUAGCCUAAGACGACUUAAUACCCAAGGUGUAUUAAGUCUAUUAGUAAACAACCAAAAAAUAUGUCCAAGGUCCACGACCUAACGACAUAUCAUGUUAUUUGUCAUUUGAAACAUGUAUGUGUAGAAAUCUAAUUGUUACCUUUUGGGGAUGAGAAUCUUAACCGUGUUUUGUUUUGUAGGUAUGACUAAUCGUCUCAAAUUUGACAUGGUCGUAAGUGCACAGAAGAUGUUCAAAUUGUGGUAGUAUGAUGUCAAUGAACUUCCCAAAAGGGACCUCAACAACUACUCAUAGACAUGGUCGGUUGGCCCAAAUUGAUCGAAAUCCUUUCCGAGUAUUGAGAUAACAAGAAAAUGGUGUUCCGAGGCGAGACCAUCGGGGACCUCUUAGUGGACUUCGCCCCUGCGUCGGUUUCUCUUUGUGUAUUUGCACUUAUUUUCUCCUGCGUGGGUUUGCUUUUAUUAUAUUGUCAUACUUCUUUCAAAUGGCCCCUUCGAGGGCCUUUCCUUAAAUAUUUUUCCUUUAUUCCCGAUUUGCCCCUGUUUAUUUUUUAAAUUUGUUUUGGGAUAAUGAAAUGGUUUAAUCUACACAUACAUCUUUCAAAUAUGCUAGGUCUACCCUUGGCACAAAAGGGUCCCCUAUUGGUUUAGGACGUGUUCCAUUUGUGUGUUUUAACUGUUUAUGUGAUAUUGUUGCUUUGAAUGAGGACAUUCUAGCCCACCCUUUUUUAAAAAAAUUCUAAUAAUCUCCACAAAUGCAAAAUACAAGUCACUAUCCAACGUUCGACCAAAAUACUCUUCGAGUCUUGAGUUUCUCAGUCAAUAUUGAAUUUCACUAUCAAAUUCUAAAAUCUUACUCUAUCAUCUCAGGAAAGGUUAAAUUGCCGCUAGGAUGGACAGAAACCAGGAUGCUGAGGUUGAACUGACUAAGGAAAAAUUCAUGUCGAAAACUGCACCAGCUCAGUUAAGAGAUCAGGAAAGUUGAGAGGAAGUCCAUGGAGAUAGAUGUCACCACCGCAUUAGUGCUAGCCAAAAGUAGUGCUGCGAUGGACGUCCAAAUUGAGAUCACAAAAAGGAAAGUGGCUAUGUAUGACGAAAUAAUAGCAAUAACUCUGGGGAAGAGAAAAGACAUAGGCCCGAGGUUACAGAGAAAAACCCAAAAGGGAGAUUACUGAGCCAGCCAUUUGUUUAGGUCGACUCAAGGAAGGAGACUCUCCUAGGGAGAAAAACCCAAAAGGGAGAUUACUGAGCCAGCCCUUUAAAAAUCAUAUCUAUUAAAAUAUUAAUUAAAUAAAAAAAUCUUAAUUUUAAAGACUUGAUCCUUUUAGUAUAGUAUAGAUAUAUAGUAGAUAUAGAUUCAGAAUAAUUACUCUACUAAGUGAAAUUUUUUGAAAGAAAUUAUCAAAGCAGCAGCCAACAAGGAAUAUAUCCGCCAUCAAAAUCGAAAUUAUAAAUGGAUGAAUAGAAAAAAGAAAAUUAAACCAUUAAAACAAUUCAACUGAAAUUAUAUACCAAAAAUAACUAAGGAAUUGAGUUAUCAUUAGCAGGGUGUAUCUGCUUUUGUUCACCGCAGCAAAAAAUACGUCUCAUAAAUGUUGAUAGGCAUGGAAAGUCAUAUCGUACACAAACAAAGAGUAGCAUCCAACAAAAUAAUGCUCCACAUGGAAAAGUUAGUGAAUAUAUAAGAACUGCAUCAUUCACCUGAGGAACCCUACAAAUACGCAUUACCAUUAAAAUAAUAAACAUAAAGAUUCCAAAAAACGUAUAACAACACCCAAAUAAAAACACCACAAAAAAACGGUCAUCAUCAUAAUCAACAAUACUUGGAACACAACAUUCAACCAUUGCAACCUCCUCUUCCGCCAUUAAAUCGAUUCGUAAACAAGAUUAAUCGAUUCGUGAACAAACAACAAGAUAUGAAAGAUUUUUUUUUAUUUUUUUAUAACAAGCUAAAGGAGUUGUAGUCCUAUAAGGACUCCAACUGAUAGAUGGAUCCUCUAAUUUUAAUUUAUUACUUCUACUUUGAUUUGUUCUUAUCUAUAACACAAUAUAUAUUACAACUUAUCACUAUUUUCAAAAGACUUAAAAUGAAUUAUUGAUUAAAAGUAAAUGUAAUAUGGUAAAUCAUAAUAAUAGAAGUUACGGGAGCUCUAUAAAAUUCAGCAAAAAAUUAAAAGUAAAUGUAAUAUGGUAAAUCAAAAUAAAAAUAAAAUUACACUGAGAACUUAUAUAUUAACAAAAAAUAAAUGACAAUUAUAAUUAUUAUUAGUCCUAUAGAUGACAAUUAUAAAAUUUUCACAUUAUAAUCCCCCUAUUUACGUAGUAUAAUUUUCAAGGAACGAGGUUCAAUUUUGCACCCUUUGCCUCUAAUCCUGCUCACAUGCACACUUAAAUAUAAAAUAUAUACAUCUAAUUGUUAAUUACCAUCAAUUACAAAUCACAAUAUAUAGCUUUAAUUAUAGACGAUUGCUUAGGAGGUAGAUUGCAUAUUUUUAGCUUAGAAUAAUCUGAUUUAAUUAUAUUUAUUGCAUAUAGCUUUUCUUGUAGCCUUAUAAGGAAAUGAUUUCCUUCAUUCUAAAUAUAUAGAAAAUUAAGUUUUUUCCCUAACCUGUUUAUACUCGUAAGUUUAAGGAAAAAAAAACAUUUUUAGACCGUUUUAAAAUAAUUCCUACAUAUAUAUGGCAACAUUAAUUGUUGUUGUUGUGAAAUACGCAGCAAAAAAUGAUUCUUAGAAAGUGAAGUUUCACAAAAUUUUGAAUGUAUAUGAAAUGUAUACACAGUUGCAGUUAUGUAUAUACAAUUGAAAAUAUGUAUACAAACCUGGUUAUACAUAUGUUUGGAUGAAGACAAUAUCAUUUUUGACGUACACAAUAAUAAGUUAUAAUUGUAUAAAUCGCUUAAAUAAAUAAGCACAGUAGACUUUAUGUAUAAUAAAUAAAAGUUACCGUAUGAUAGUAAAUGAAUCAAAUUAUAAAAGUUAUACAUCAAUUAUAUGUGCAAUCUACUUCACGUAUACACAAAAUUGUGUGAUAAAUACGCAACUCUUUCUAUUUUAAAGGAGUAAAAAGUUGUAUGGUUAAACAUUGAUAAUCAAAAUUUAAUAGGCCGUCUAAAAAUGACUUUAUCAAUUUCUUCCCAAAAAUUCAAAUAGUGAGGUAAUAUAGAUGCUUCAAAACUCCAAUUUUAAAUCGAAGCCAUUAGUCAACACUUUGAACAGCAACAUUUCGUGAAAACCUUUAUUCAAUUAUAUUUAUCUCUUGUCAAUAUUAUUUUUUCUUUUAAAAAUAGAAGAAGAAAUAAUCAACUUUUGUUAUAUGUUUUAUUAAAAAAUAUACUAGCAUAGUUGAAAAUCAAUGCCGACAUCUCACGAUUGAUUAGUCAUCUUCCUCCAUAUUCUACUGCCACAUUAUGUAUUUAUUUAUUAAUUUCACAUAAAAAGUAAGGCAAAAAUCUAGCUCAAUCUUGUACGGAAAAAGUGUUAUUUGUCUUUUUGUGUGAGUUGUACCCACCUUUAGUAUUUUCUAUUUAAUAAAUAUAAUAAUUGUGAUUAAUAUAAUAUAAUAAAAGAUUUCUUGCAUUAUCUCCUUAAUUAAUUAACUUAUUGACCAAUUGUUCCUAAACCUCAACUGUUUCUUCCACUUAAAGAAAUAUUUUGACACCACAAGCUUGAAUACAUUAUGGUUGGUGGUGGAUGGAAGCAUGUUGAAAAGUAGAUUAUUUCAUCAAAAGUAAAUUAAUUUAGUCCAACAACGUAAGAUAACAAAUCAGUAAAAUCCCACAAGUGAGAUCUGAGACAGUAAAAUAUACGCAGACUUUAUCAUAAUCUCGUAGAGAUAGAUAGUCUAUUUCUGAAAUAAUCAAAUUAAAGCAAAAAUUAACAUAAAAUUCAAGACAGAUCGAAUACUUACAUGAAUAACUAAGUUAUUCAUAUAUAUAAUUAAUUCAUGCAUAAAAUAAUACAUAAAUUAUUUUACAACUAAUACGUUUUAGGAUUUAUUAUCCUUAAAUAAAUAAAUAAAUAGAUAAUUAAGGGGACUAUUGAACUGUGUGUACUGAAGGAGAGGAACAUCUUCGUACCCUACCAGGUGUUAAAACCAAUAAUAACAAUAAUUAUAUUCUACUUAGUACUAGUGAUUAACAAAAUAUUAAUAUAAUUAAAAGAUAUAACACAAAAGGAUCCUAUUAAUAUUUGUCGUUGAAUAUGUCAUGCAUGACAUAAUCACUUCAUUUAUAAAAAAAUAUUAUUUUACCCCAUUACUAGGAAGCAAAUAAGCUAGGAUCCACAUGGUGCUACAUGUUGUAAGUUAUCAAUAUUAUAUUUUGAGGAAUAUACAGCAAGAUGGGGAAAAUAUAAUUAAAUAAAGUUUUCUCAGAUUUCAUUUCCAUCUAAUUUAUUAACUCAUUUCAUUAAUAAUAAAGUAUUUUUUUUCAUAGCUAGGAAACCUAGUAUGAUUGCCUGAAAAUUAGAAGAAUAAUAUGGAACUUAAUAAUAGUUGAUGACUUAGCAAGUUCAAAAGUACUAUAUAUCGCCAUGUUAUUAUAUUAGAGUCCGGAGCCUAAAGGGCAAAAAAAAUUGUCAAAAAUUCCAAAAGGGCACAUCACUUUUUAUUUUAGCCAAAAGGGUAAAAUCGCUGCGUCCUCUGACAAAAUGACGAAAUAGCAGCGAUUUCGUCUAAAAAAUUUUUUUUUGUUUUUUUAAUUAAAAAUCGCUGCCACAGCAGCGAUUUUGUAAAAAAAAAGAAAUUUAAAUUAAAAAUCGCUGCGAUUUUGUAAUUUUUUUUUAAUUAAAGAUCGCUGCUUUUUCUUUUAAAAAACUAAAACGGCACAUCAAAAAAAAAANNNNNNNNNNNNNNNNNNNNNNNNNNNNNNNNNNNNNNNNNNNNNNNNNNNNNNNNNNNNNNNNNNNNNNNNNNNNNNNNNNNNNNNNNNNNNNNNNNNNNNNNNNNNNNNNNNNNNNNNNNNNNNNNNNNNNNNNNNNNNNNNNNNNNNNNNNNNNNNNNNNNNNNNNNNNNNNNNNNNNNNNNNNNNNNNNNNNNNNNNNNNNNNNNNNNNNNNNNNNNNNNNNNNNNNNNNNNNNNNNNNNNNNNNNNNNNNNNNNNNNNNNNNNNNNNNNNNNNNNNNNNNNNNNNNNNNNNNNNNNNNNNNNNNNNNNNNNNNNNNNNNNNNNNNNNNNNNNNNNNNNNNNNNNNNNNNNNNNNNNNNNNNNNNNNNNNNNNNNNNNNNNNNNNNNNNNNNNNNNNNNNNNNNNNNNNNNNNNNNNNNNNNCACAGCAAAUUUUUUUUGUUUUUUUACAAUGGCAGCGAUUUUUAAUAAUGAUAAUAAAAACAAAAUUUAACAAAAUCGCUGCUAUGGCAGCGAUUUUUAAUAAAAAAUAUAUUUUUAUUUUUUUUUACAAAAUCGCUACUGUGGCAGCGAUUUUUAAUUGAAAAAAAUAAAAAAAAAAAUUUAGUCGAAAUCACUGCUAUUUCAUCAUUUUGUCAGAGGAAAAUCGCUGCUGACGCAGCGAUUUUGCCCUUUUGGCUAGAAUAAAAAGUGAUGUGCCCUUUUAGAAUUUUUGACAAUUUUUUUUGCCCUUUAGGCUCCGGACUCUAUUAUAUUAUGUGUUUUGAAUCAAGUUCAAUUAAGUUUCACAAAAAGGCUUCACAUGGUAAUAAAAGUAUAUAUAUAUAUAUAUUAUAAGUAAACAUUUUAUUUUCAAAUAACAUGAAUGUUCUCAUAUAUAACCAAAUCAUUUUCAACUAAUAUUUUUUUUUUGGGUCAGAAGCUACGAACUAAUUUGUCACUAGAUUAGUUGUUGUUGAUAUAAAUUGAAAUAAUUCGUCCCUAAUAUGAUGUUAAUUAAUAGAAUUAACUACAAACUUUCUUAUUUAGCUAUAGAAUCAAAAACUCGUGUAAUAAAAAAUGGAAGAAGAGAAAGUACACUGCUAAAAAAAAUACUCCCUCUAUCCCAAUUUAUAUGACACAUUUCAGAUUUCGAGAUGCAAACAAGUCAACCUUUGACCGUAAAUUUUUCAUAUAUCUUUUAAAUAUUUUGAAUUAUCAAUUAUUGUGACUUAUAGUACUUUUUAUGUAGUUUACAAAUAUAUAAAUUUCAUUUUUUAAAAAUUGAAGAUUUCAUGAGCAAUUUCUCGGUCAAACUUAAACUGUUUGACUCUCGAAAAGCAAAAUGUGUCACAUAAAUUGGGACAGAGAGAGUAGCAAUUAAUGACGAAUGCAUCCUCCAGAACUGUCUAUUGUAUUUGCUAUUAAAAUAUGUUUUUAUCUCUUACAUAUAGUGUGUGUUUGAUACGAUGAAAGAAAUAUUCAUGUUGAAUUGAUUAAAAAUUUAAAAAUUAUAAGUUCUUAAAAGUGAAAAAUAUGACUAUUUUUACUAAAACUUAUCGAAGUAGGAAAAAUCAGUUCUACUAAUGAUUUUUCAUAUCUCUAACACAAUCGCAUCUUCAACUCCACCCGAAAAUCAUUCAUGUUCUCAAUUACGAUGCAGUACGAGAUAUUGUCUUUGAAUUCUACCUUAAGUCUAGCCAUCCGACAAGUUACGCAGUUAAAUUAGUUUAGUAAAAGCCCAGUCAAACUGUCAAUCUCUAGGCAGUUAAGGAAAAAAGAAGAAAAAAAGUGAAAAAGCAUAUAUUAUAGAAAGCUUUACACUAGGAAAAUAAUAUAUUCAACUGCUAAAAGUUACAUAAUUAAGGAUUAAAUAAACUUAAAAGGAAGUAAAAGAAUUAAUAUUGAAUUAGUAAAAGAGUGGGUAAAUGUUGGUGAGAAUGGACAUGAGUUAGUAUGAUCUAGUUAAGAAUGUGCCUAAGACUAGAAAUGUAAGUUUUUCUCAUCUCGAGUUAAUAAAAAAAUUGUCUCAUAAAAUAUACUAAUAUAUAUUUUUUAAAUCUAUUUUACAUCGAAAUAAUUCAUUGAAAAAAUACAUCAAAAAACAGAUCUUAAUAAGAUAACGAAAGCUUCCUAAUAUAUUUUUUCAAUGGAAAAAACGUGAUGUUUUAAUAGUGAUUUGAUGUCGGUGUCAAACUUAUCAAUUCAUCACGUAAUAUCAUUUAUAUAUAUUUCACCUAACAAAUUAACAUGUCAGUUUUUCACAUAAUGUAUGAUAGAAAUCAAUAAAAAUAUUUGUAAUAUUUAUUCAUAUUUAAUUUUUCAUCAACGCUAAACUCGAAAAUAUCAAAUUAAAAGUGAUAGCAAGUGCAUUUGAAAAAGGGUGUUUAAUUGUACCAAAAUACCCCGACAUUUACUUUUCUAGAAUGACUCAUAAUGAAAAUUGAUUAAUAAUUAAUUAAUUAAUUAAUUAUAUAGUUUAUGGUUGUAACUGUGCUGCAACAGAAACCAUUAGCAUAAACCAUUAGCUAGUAGCUAAGGAAUCUACUAGCUAAUUAAAGAAAUUAACUUUUACUAGGAGGAUUAGAUGUCAUAAAUCAUAAUUAUUGGUCAUUACUGUUUGGCUACCAUUUCUCAAAUCUCAAGCAAAUAUAUAAAUUGUUUAUACAUAGUGGAGGGCUAAGAAAUAUUACUAUCAUAGCUUCUAUAAAUAUCAAGGUAAUAUUCCUCAAUAUUUUUAAAAAGCUGAAUAUUACUAUAUUUUUGGAUCGAUUAUUACAAGUUUGAAUAUUGAAUGAGGUAGUUUGUUCUUAAAUAGAUUAAAAUAAAAAUUAACUGUUUUAAUAAUGACUUAGCUUGAAUGACCGUAGUUUAUAAAAAUUAUUAUAAAAUUAAAAAAAAUUCUGACUAAUCAAACAUGAAUUAGUUUUGGAUGAUGUUCAAAGUUUUGCAAUACUAUAAAGAUUAUUUGACAUGAAGAAAAAUAUAUUUUCUUAGAAAAACAAACUUCUUAAUGGAAAAAAAAAUAAUAGAGGAAACAAGUUUUAUAAGUGAUAUUUUAAGUUCAUUGUUUUCUCUUCAUCGAUCCAACAAUUUCAAUUUCCACCACCCUCGAACUCCCACCCUUCCUGCCUAUAUAAUAUUUUGCCAGAUUAUAUAUAAAUAUUGCAUGACAAAUUUUUUAUUUACUUGCCAAAACACUACAAAAUAAUAAAAAAUCACUUACUUUCAACAAGAUAUUUUAUAAAAAAAAACAUUUUUCUAUUUUAUUUUUCUUUACUUACCAAAACUCACAGUACACUUAUUUUGAAUACACUGAGGAGGAAAAAGAGUUCACAUUUUGAUAAAACAAAAUCAACCUUUCUAUUGUUGAUGACGCACCUGAGCCAUUUUUUCUACAGCAUACGAUUAUCACAUUCAAGAUUCAAUCAUUUCUAAUUAUAGUACUAUUUCAUAUAAUAUAAUUUUUAUCUCAAUUUAAAUGAUAUUUUUCAAUUUAGGAGAUUCAAAUAAAUUUAUUUUUUAUAGUAAAUUUUUCAUAUAUUUUUUUAUAUUUUUAAUUAUCAAUUAUUGUGACUUAUAAUAUAUUUUUUGUAAUUUACAAAUUGCAUUUCAAAAAAUUUGAAAAUUUCAUGCUAAAUUAUUGAUUAAACUCAAACUAUUUAACACUUAGAAAACAAAAAAUAUCACUUAAAUUGGGACGAAGAGUAAUAUAUUAUAAUAAUCCCACCACCAUUCUUCUCUAUCUCUUUACCAAUUUUCAACGCACCCCAGUCUUUCCCUUCUUAUAAGCUCUCCAUUUCUGCACUUUUCUCUAUCAUCUUCUUCUUCAAUUAUUUUUUCUUCUUUUUAUAUAUAAUUUAAUUAAUCUAAUGAAGAUCCAGUGUGAUGUGUGUAACAAUAAUGAAGCCUCUGUUUUUUGUGUUGCUGAUGAAGCUGCUCUUUGUGAUUCUUGUGAUCAUCGUGUUCAUCAUGCUAAUAAACUUGCUAGCAAACAUCAACGUUUCUCUCUUAUUCAACCUUCACCUAAACAAAUACCAGUUUGCGAUAUCUGUCAGGUAAAGUAGUCAGAGACGGAUUCAGAAUUUAAAUUUAGAACUCUGAGUCAUGAGUUUAUUAAUUUUUUUGGGUACUUAAUUUUACAGGAAAGAAGGGCUUUUUUGUUUUGUCAACAAGACAGAGCAAUUCUAUGCAGAGAGUGUGAUGUUUCAAUACACAAAGCUAAUGAACAUACACAGAAACAUAAUAGAUUUCUAUUAACUGGUGUCAAAAUUUCAGCGAAUUCUUCGCUUUAUACUUCAUCAGAAUCAGCAUCAGCAACUUCAUGUAGUGCGAAUCAAGAUUCUGUUACAAAUCUCAAUAAGUCUCAAACUUGCACAAAAAAGACUUUGCCUGUUUCUGGUUCUGUUCCUCAACAAGUGUCAGUGGCAGUUAAUAUUGGGGAAAAUAGUUAUACAAGUAGUAUAUCAGAGUACUUAGAGAUGUUACCUGGAUGGCAUGUUGAAGAAUUGCUGAAUUCCUCUACAAUUCCUACUAAUGGUUUCUGUAAGGUUUGCAUUUUGUGCUCAUUUUCAAUCUUAUAACUGGUAAAAUUAUUGUUAUGUGAUCAACAGAUUAUUGAUUCGAGCUGUGAAAAUAGUCUUUUGUAGAAAUACAGAGUAAGGCUAUUGUACAAUAGACCCUUGAGGUCCGAUCCUUUUCCACAUAGCUGAAGCUUAGUGCAUUAGACUGUCAUUUUUGUCAAAUGGUUGUGAAAUGCAAUUAUCUGAUCUAUUUUUUUUCUUGUAGAUUGGUGAUAAUGAUGUGUUUCCGAUUUGGGAUACUGAGAUUGAGAGCACAAUGAAUUCAUUCUCACCAGAAAAUUUAGGUAUUUGGGUCCCUCAAGCACCUCCACCUCCUACUCCUCAAAAGAAUCAGAACCAAGUUUUCCCUCAGAAUAUAAACUUUGGUGGACAAAUUGAAUUCAAGAAUAUGAAGGAAGUUACAAGUAACAAGUCAAGUAGAAAGUGGAGAGAUGACAAUUCUUUUGCUGUUCCACAAAUCAUCCCAUCAUCAUCUUCUAUUUCCUUCAAAAGAUCAAGAACUCUUUGGUAGUUGGAUCCAAUCAUCUUUUUUUCUUUUAAUUCCCUAGUUUGAUUUUUUUUUCUAUUUCUGUGGGUAUUUCUUUAUUUUUUUUUGCCUUUUCUUGAUUUAGUUUGAGCAACAAAAAAAAAAUGAAAAAAAAGAACACCCCAUCUCCUCUUUUGUGCUCAAUUAAUACACAACUUGGUUUUGUUGUGUUCUUGGAAUUAUUGUUUUGGUGCAAGGGCCUCUUUUGCUUUGUAAAUAUCUUUUUAGGCAUAAUACAUAAACACACUCUCAAAUUUAGCUUAAAUUGUCAAGCAAAUAUUUCAAUUUACAAAAUGGCCUUCUAGGACUUUCAAAAUUGAUGUGUUACGUCAGUGUUGGAUGUCCACAAGAUACAAUAAGCAAGGAUGAAUAUUGGAAUGCUUAGUUGCUAGUCGAGACCAAAUUGAGGUGUUGAGAUAUGUAUUCUCAAAGUUAGAAGGCUUACUUUUCAGCUGAGACUAGAUUUAAGUGUUUGUUUUAUGUAUUAUGACAAUUCCUAUUAUGUUUUGUUGAAUCCCAUAAAACUCAGAGGUUUAUGAAUCAAUGUUGGACACAAUCACAUAUCAUGUCGUAUUUCAACAAAAAAAGAUCUCUUAUGAUCAAUUAUAAGCUAAAAAACCUUGAUUUCAUGUGUUAUAUUUUAUCGAUCUCACUUGAAAAGAUAUUUAUAAUGGACUAUAAAACCUAUCUCCACUAUUUCACAGAACAUUGAUGAAAUUCAAUGUAUGAAUCAAAGAAGUGAUAGUUAAGAAAGGCACUUAAUUAAAGAACUUUUAGUCAUCCCUUUUGGUCUGGGAAUAACACCAACAAGAGGGUGGCAUUGCACUGCAAUGAUGAUUGUUAUCAGAUAAGAAGGCCAGACUGGCAAAUUCUAAUAGAUAUAUUAUUAUAUAUAGCAGCCAUGUAGGGACCUGAUAUCUUGAAAUUCAGUAAAAAAAAAUCGUAAUUAUAAGAUAAAAUUUGUAAGUCCAAUACAACUUGCAUGCCAACAUUUUAAAGAGUUACUUGGUAUUUGUUGUUGAUAAGAAGUGAUAGAUUUUUGUGGAAUUAGUUGAGGUGCGCGAAAGCUGGCUCAAACGAGACGUUGCAGAAUCAAGUAGUAUCUAAAUUCCAAUCAAGAGUAUUAAAUUUGAACAAAAUUUUAUAUACAAACAACAGUAACAAUUGUAGAAAAGUGGAUGACAAGAUGGGGCCAAAAGUGACUUGUGAUCAAUCAAUUUUCAAGAACUAAGAAAUUUAGUGAAUUAAUGGACCUAAAUGAAUAGUAACAACUAACUACCCUGAGGACUCCGACCAGACAUUUGAAGUAUGAAAAAAGUGGAUCCCAAAUCACAAUUGACAAAAUUAGGGCAUAUAUAAAAGUAGUAGUGGUAGGGAGACCGGAGACAGGUAGGGUUGACGAAAAAUUACACUAUUUAUACAAUGUUAAAAUUAUUUUCUACGUAUAUAUAUAGUACAUAUUACUUCUUCAUAAUUUGAAAUCUUUAAUAAAAUUUUUGACUCCGCACCUUAUAAUACACUAAUAGUUAGAAAUAGAGAACAGAUAGGGACCAAAAGCCAGCAAAAGUGCAUCAAAUGUUCAGCCAACAUGGCCAAAACUUUAUGGGGUAAACAUUUAAGGCUAGUUAGGCCACUAGUAAAGCCAGCUCUAUAACAAGGGUUAUGGUGUAGUGGAAAGUACUCAUUUAUUCUUAAUCAGAGAUAUCGAGUUCGAAUCCCUUAAGGCCUAAUGUGGGACUUUCAACCGUGAAUUUGGAUUUAGUCGGACUCCAAAAAAAAAAAAAAAAAAACUCUGAAUGAAAUACUAGUUGCUAGGACCAUUUCAACUUGCAUAUUUCAUUCUCAAUUAUAUUAUCAUUGCCAUGUCCCUAUCCUUCUUGUUUGUCGAAUAUGGCAAUCACUCUCACGUUAUUAAUAACCAGGAUCCACAUCCACCCACCCAAAAAAAUAUAAAAAGUUGUGGGGAAAAAGUCCAAAAAAUUCUCCAUAACAUUCGAAACUACUCAAGUCUAUCUUUUGUUAUACUUUCAGUCCAUAUAUACUUUAGUCGUUAGUCAUUACUCAGGUUUUUUAAAAAUUAUUUGACUCGAUUUGCGGUUUAGCUCAAUUUUGUACCGCCCAUUAUUAGUAUAUAUGUAAUCUUUUUAUUAUUAUUAUUAUUAUUAUUAUUAUUAUUAUUAUUAUUAUUAUUAUUAUUAUUAUUAUUAUUAUUAUUAUUAUUAUUAUUAUUAUUAUUAUUAUUAUUAUUAUUAUUAUUAUUAUUAUUAUUAUUAUUAUUAUUAUUAUUAUUAUUAUUAUUAUUAUUAUUAUUAUUAUUAUUAUUAUUAUUAUUAUUAUUAUUAUUAUUAUUAUUAUUAUUAUUAUUAUUAUUAUUAUUAUUAUUAUUAUUAUUAUUAUUAUUAUUAUUAUUAUUAUUAUUAUUAUUAUUAUUAUUAUUAUUAUUAUUAUUAUUAUUAUUAUUAUUAUUAUUAUUAUUAUUAUUAUUAUUAUUAUUAUUAUUAUUAUUAUUAUUAUUAUUAUUAUUAUUAUUAUUAUUAUUAUUAUUAUUAUUAUUAUUAUUAUUAUUAUUAUUAUUAUUAUUAUUAUUAUUAUUAUUAUUAUUAUUAUUAUUAUUAUUAUUAUUAUUAUUAUUAUUAUUAUUAUUAUUAUUAUUAUUAUUAUUAUUAUUAUUAUUAUUAUUAUUAUUAUUAUUAUUAUUAUUAUUAUUAUUAUUAUUAUUAUUAUUAUUAUUAUUAUUAUUAUUAUUAUUAUUAUUAUUAUUAUUAUUAUUAUUAUUAUUAUUAUUAUUAUUAUUAUUAUUAUUAUUAUUAUUAUUAUUAUUAUUAUUAUUAUUAUUAUUAUUAUUAUUAUUAUUAUUAUUAUUAUUAUUAUUAUUAUUAUUAUUAUUAUUAUUAUUAUUAUUAUUAUUAUUAUUAUUAUUAUUAUUAUUAUUAUUAUUAUUAUUAUUAUUAUUAUUAUUAUUAUUAUUAUUAUUAUUAUUAUUAUUAUUAUUAUUAUUAUUAUUAUUAUUAUUAUUAUUAUUAUUAUUAUUAUUAUUAUUAUUAUUAUUAUUAUUCAUUGUACGAAUAAGUCGUGUUCUAAUAGAAGUGCUCCUAUAUAUUUGACUUGUCACCCUAAACCUAUUUCAACUAGGACUUAAUUUCCCUCUCAUAUAUAUACCUACACAUUGAGGACUACAAUUCUUUCAAUUUUUUUUUAUUUAUUCGCCGGUGUUCCAAGUCCAUAUUGAGAAACACAAUUCUAAGCAUAUUUAUUUUGCAAGUAUGGUGAAACCACAGAAGGACGACCGUUUAGAGUAUAUUUUGAAGAUAAUAGGUUUAUCUCUUAUUGAUUGCAAUAGGAAUUGGAAUUUGCCAACUUCCACCUGAAUAUGCUAUUUCAUUCUUCAUCCCUUUUUUCAUUAUAUUUUUCCAGGUGGUGUUUUAUUACUUAGAUAUAUAAGGAAGGAAAUCGAUCGACAACAUAUACUAUUAAGCCAGAAUGAUAAGAAUUAAGAAGUGUUUACUCGAUUGAAGGACAAGUAUAGAAGUUUAUUAUCUUAGUUUGCACUUUUUCUUUGUAUUUUUGCAUUUUUGAUAGUUAUGUUGAUUAUAAUUUUGGUGUUUUAUAACAUGUCACGUAGGGAGUACUAUUUUAGCAAGGUUAAUCUUGACUAAUCUCUUCAAUGUUUCUAAUACUUUGCUACUAAGGGUGUGUUCGAUAAAGGGGACAUUUUUAAGAAAAUAAUUUUUCAUGUUUGAUUGAUCAAAAAUUAUAAAAAAAAUAUUUUCUUUAAAAAAUAAUAAAUUACUUAACAAUUUUUGCUAGAUCCCAUCAAAUAAAAUUUCAGAAGGAUACAACUUACAAGGAUGGAAUUGACGUCAAUUUUUUAUUUUCGAAAUUGCCAAGGCGAAAGUUAUUCCUAAUUAAACAAUAACUUCAAAUUAUCCAUCAAUCAAAAUAUGCACCAAUUAAAACAGCAUAGAGGGUGGCCCUAAAGCCAACUUAGAAUUUAUGGGUGGCUCUAAAGCCAACUUAGAAUUUAUUGGCCUAUACAUAGACAUAUUAACAACAAAAGACGAGUCAAAAUUAUUUAAUUUUACAAGUUUUAAAUUUUAAAAUGGCUACUUCAAGUGUUAAUAGCUAAGUUUUGAACUUAUUAUUCAUACAUAUUUAAUGAAUUUAUUAACAUAAAAUAUAUUAUUUGAGCAAAUGUUACUGAAUUCAUCCGAACCAUAGCUGGGCUUCUUACUCCACCCCUUUUAAACAAUUAUAUACAUUACUUUAUAUUAAUAAAUAUAUAAAAAUUAUAAUAUUAAUCCUUAAAUAUAUAUAGAUAUGGGGUGGUUUUUCCGUCUAAAUAAUAUUGACGCCCAAAAUCCCAUUUUAAUGCAAGACCCAAACCGAAAGCUCUAGUAGCAAAUCUUUCAAUGUUAGUCAACUAUUAGGUUGAUUUACCCAGAAUUUUAUUUUUAAGUUAUUAUUUAAAUUUUAUGCCAAUUUUCAAAUUUUGUGAGAAUAUAAUCAUUAAUUCAGAUAUUGUUCGACUUCUAAUAUUUAUUUAUAUAUUGCUUAAUCUUACCGAUAAAAUAUGAACUAAUUAAUUGUAAUCUAGUACUUAUAAUAAUUUUUCAUUGUAAUAAUUUUUCAUUGUAAUCUAGUAUUUAUAAGUUUUAAUCAACUCAAAGAUAAUUUAUUAUUUACUAUUAAUCGCAGUGAACACUUUUUUCUUUUAAUAUUAGUAUAUAUCUCUAUAUAUGUAGUCUUUGUUUUUCUUAUGAAGAAGUCUGCUCCUAUGUAUUUGCUAGGUUAGUUCUUCCUUUUAAUUUGUGUUUAUUUAUAUUAGAACAAUAUAUACAUGUUUAAAAAAACUACAAAUUAUAAGUUAUAGGUUCAAUGUGUUUUAGUUCACGUCAAACUAAUAUCUUUUGAACUUUAAGAAUUAUUGGGACUUAAAAUUAGCACUUGAGUAGGAUUAGAUUUUCUUGUAAUUCGUAUUUGUCAAUUAAACUAUUAAUUUUAAAGUCUUAAUAAAUUUAAUUUUGGUUAAUUUUUUAAAUUAUUAAAUAUUAAAAAACUAGUAAAUGACAAUUUUGUGUAUAGUUAAUGAAGGGUAAAAGGCUCAAACAACAUUUUCAAGGACUUUUAAUAUAUUUAUAAUAAUUCUUUUUUUCAUCAUUCAUAUGAAGAAGUAGUAUUUUAACAGGAGUCUUCUUGUAUAUUUGAUUUGUCACUUAUUUAAUUCAACUAGGACUUAAUUUUUCUUUUAUAUAUACUUGAGAUUUUCAUAGAAGAAAAAUACUAUACCUAUCCAUCGACAAAUCUAAGCAUAUAUCUUCUUCUUUUUUAAAGUAUGGCAGAACAAUGGAAGGACGAUAAUUCUAAAGAUUGUGAGGAAAUUGUUCAGUCGUAUGAUAAUUCCAAUGAUCGUGAAGAAAUUGUACAUGCAUAUGAUAAUUUCGAAAAUCGUGAGAAAAAUCGCCGUCGCUUUGUUUUGAGGACCAUAGUUUUGGGCUUAACCCUUGCAAUAUCGGUAGGAAUUCCCGGUCAUCCAAAUAAAUAUGAUAUUUUGUUAUCCUUCCCUUUUUUCUUUACAUUUUUAUAUGAUCUUGUUUUAUUAUUUAGAAGUAGAUAAUUUUAAAGAUCGUGAGUAAAUUGUACAUGCGUAUGAUAAUUUCAAAGAUUGUCAGGAAAUUAUGCAUGCGUAUGAUAAUUUCAAGGAUCAACAACAUCUCCUUUUUAGCCAAUCCAAAAUGAUGAGAAGUGUUUACUCUGUUGAAGGACAACUAUAGAAGUUUAGUUAUCUAGUUUGCGCUUUUCUUUAUAUUUUUGCAUUUUUUUUGGUUUGGUUGUUUAAUUAUAAUAAUAAUAUAAGUAUUGUCACUUCUCAAUUCCUUAUGCUCUUGGCCGAUCUCUUCCAUAUUUCUGAGACCUUGAUGAACAUUUUAUUAAAAAAAUGUCAGUUGAAAUUUUAAAAAGUAUUUUGGUUAAUAAUUAAAUUGUUUAAAACUUUGGAAUAUAAUCUUCUUAAUAAAAAUAGGAAUAACAGAUUUUACAAAUAUUGUUCUACACAUUAAUUGUAUUCUUCCCAUCCUAUUUUAUUAGGCUUGCAAUAAUUAACCAUUAAUUAGGUACCAUCUUCAAUUACUUUUAGUUUUAUGCUCAACUCGGAUUAAUUUCUUUGUAAUCAAAAUUUUAAUAUCUUGAUUGAUCUACCGCAUAGAUUCUACGCAAACAAACUUAUAAUAUUAUGAUUAGUGAGUGAAAAUUUAACCUCUAUGUAUGAUUUUUUAAAAAGCUAAUCGAUUGCAAAAUUAUUUGGUUAUUUAAUUUUCCAAUGAGGUUAGUAAAGGAGAACCAAGAUAGAAAAUAUAAAUGCGAAUGCGAAUGCAAAUCAAUCAAAUUAACCUGAAAAAUAGCGACAAGUUCAAGUCUUCUAGAUAAGCACAAAUUAAAGGGCAACUAAUUAUACUCUAUACUUGCAUAAUUAAUUGCUUUUAUUAUUAUUAUUAUUAUUAUUAUUAUUAUUAUUUAUAUAAUAAUAUAUACACAUAGUUAUAAGUACAUGUAUCUGCUAUGAUUGCUUUGUUUAUGUAUCUCAGAACCAAGGCUUGCUUUGUUUAUGUAUCUCAGAACCAAGGCUUUGUUCAUGUAUCACAGAACUAAUAAAGUGAAAGCUUAUGUAGCUAACCAACUGAGCUUAUGUAGCUAACCAACUGAGCUAUUAAAAUUUUCUUAUAAAACAAUAUCAAAAGAUAGUUUGUAUAAUAAUUUUGAAUCAGAGUUCUACCAAUUAGAAUAGACUCUUUAGGCAAAAAUGAAUAAAAUAAAAAAACAAUAGAUCUUAUGUUUGAAUGGGGAGAAAAAAUAAAGAAAGAAGAUUAGAUUUUAAAAAAUCAGGUUAUUUAAAUUAUUUUUAUGAUACAGACCUAGUUUAUUACUGCCUUUUAAUUCAAUUUAUUUCGUAUUAUAUUAAAAAAAAAAAAGAGAGUAGGAUUUUAGGAGUAUCAAAAUGGGCCAUCAGUGGGCUUACAAGUUGUUUGGAUGUAAAAAAUUUGGGCCUAUGAUACCUUGAGCUGUGUUCGGCUCAAGGAUUUUGAUGUGGUUUGUUUGGAAUUUAUUCAUAAAAAAAAUAAAAAUUAAUGUCAUUAGAUUGUCAAUAAAUAAUAUAUAUAUAAAAAUAAUUAAAUUGUCAAUGACUUUUUUAAACUUGUUUAAAAUUAAAUUGUCACAUAAAACACUACAUACAACACAAAUAUCAUGUAAAAUAUUAAAUAUAUAUGUUUAUUUGUUUAAUUUUAUACUAAUGUAAGUAUUUUGUGUACAAUUAAAAUUAUUAGAAGUGAUAAAUGCUAACCGACGUUAAGUCAAAGAACAUAUUUACAUUUUAUUUAAUUAUAUAAUAAUUAUUUUAUAAAUUAUUAAUUAUGAACGUAUAUGAAGAAACAGGUUUUAGGGUUUUAGCUAAAAUCGAGUUUCAGAAAACACUAUCUGUGCCGGCGAUUGCUUUUUUUCGAUAACAAUGGGGAAGAAAAAGUUCAUCGACAAGAAGAAAUCAGCUACUUUUCAGUUAUUCGCCUGUGAUUCAUCGGAUCCGGCUUAUGAAUCCGGGUCCUCCGGCGCCGACAGAGUGUUCGUCAGAGUUGACAACAAUACAUCCUACUCAGUCGACGCCUUUCACUCCGCCGAUCAAUUUAACCCUGAUGACCCGAAUUCGAUAUACGCUGAUGCUCCGGAAGAUGAAGAGGAGUACAAUGGGUGGGCAGCCGGGUAUUCGGGUACCGGAAAUCAAACUGUGCUGUUACCUGAUGAUGUUAGAAAGGAGAUAUUGGAGCUAGGGUUUCCUGAUGAUGGGUAUAAUUACUUACAUCACUUGAGGGAGAUUAAGAAUACCGGUGGAGGCUCUGCUUAUUAUGAGAAUCCUAAAGCUAAGUUUAAUGAGCUUCCUCGUGAUGUUAAGGUUUGUUAAUUCUAUGAAUUUUUGUAUUGUAUUUACUUUUUCUGCCUAAAAAUGUUAGCUUUGGUUGAAUUAGUAUUAUUCUAUGUCAUAAUUAUAUAGAAUUAGCAUUAUUUGUUUUUGUAUAUGAGUUUCAAUGGAGUUACACUAAGGAUUAAUAUUUAGUCAACCCCAACGUGUUUGAACUGAGGUCUAAUUGUUGUAGAUUUUUAGUUGUAUUAUAUGGAAGUAGUUUUAGGAUUUCAGCUUUUGUUGAAUUAGUAUAGUGAUACAAUCAACUAUGCCUCAAUUCCCUUUUAGUUGGCAGUGUAUACAAAUCCUUUUUGAGUAUAAUUCAUCAUAAUGAUUACGUUGGUUCAGUAUUUUAUUUUGGAUUUGGUGAAGUAUAUGUUCUUGUCAGUAUAUUUAUUGAAAGAAAGGGAAAACAAAGAAUUGAUUAAUACUAAUUUUUAAAGACAGUAGCUUUGUGGCUUAUCUUUUCUAGUUAACAAAUUUAUGGUUUUGGUUAGGCAUAUGAUGCUUCAAGAGUUGCGGUUGCAAAAGUGGAUGAUGAUUCCAAUGAGAAAUAUGUAUACAAUGUGGCAGCCAAGACGGUAGGGGUAAGAGUUCAGAAGGCAGUGGAUCCUGAAGUUGCUGCUUUGCUAGAUGACAGUGAUUUGUCACGUUUUGGGUCUGAUGAGGAGGAUUUAGAGUUGGAAGAAGAUUUUGUUAUCACGGCAAACCUACCCGAUGAGGCAGAUACUGUGGAACUUGACAAGAAUUUAAGCUUGCUAGAGAGAUCAGACGUUGACAAACUAGGAAGCAAUGAUACGGCUGGACAUGUGCAGAGAAAUGAGGCCAAAUUUGCGUCUAUUGAAGAGAAGCCAAGAGCACGCCGCCCUCUGGAUGAACAGUUUGAUAUGGUAAGCCGUUUGUUCUCCUAUAUUUAUUUUCUUUUUGUUCAAAUCUAUAGUUUUCUUCACGGGAACUUUUACAAGCCCGAUGACAACUUAAGAGAGAAAAAUUACUUCCCCCCAAAAAAAGAAAAGAAAAGAAGAGGCUAAAGUGACCAUAAGUGUGUUAUAAGAGGACAUCAGCCCAUGUUAAAUGAAUUGGUCUAAUUUGCCUUUUUUCCGGUAAUGUGGUUCCAGUCCAUUUGGUGCUCACCUUAAUCAACUCAUUGAAAUAUUUUCUAAUUUCUACCUCACACUUGUCGAGCUCAAAUUUUCCUUCUAGAAGAAAAUGUUUCUAACUUGCAACUAGCACAGGUAUUUGGUAGCUCUUCCCUUGUCUUAGGUAGAUGGGGUUUACCUAGUCAUAGUUUGGGAGGCUGAGGAGCAUUGUAGAAUAGUGGAGGUGUGCGCAAGUUUCUAUCUUUGAUAGAUAGGCCACCCCAUUAGGUCUGAAUUUGCAGCAUCUGCUUUAAAAAUAUUUUUCGAUGACAUUGUUUCUUUUUGAAGUUCUUUUUCUCCUGGUGCUUUGCUUGAUAAUAGAGGCAAUCUAAGCCACCAUUUGCGUGUCUUACAGUGGUAAUUGCUUGUAAGAUCUAUUACUACACUGAUACAACUUCAGAUACAUGUACAAAUGGCAUGUUUUCAGCUGAAAUUGAGUUGAAAUAUUCUUUUUUUGAUAAGGCAAAGGUUAGCAGAGAAUGAAAUUAUUUGAGUCUUUGUUUUGUAAGUAUUAAGUAUUUCCACUAAAGCUCUUAUCUUUUCCCUCAAAAUGACUUCUAAGUAGUACAUACAUUUAGGUUUUGAACUAUUAUUAUCCAAUAGAUUAUAUGGAUUUUCAUGCCGUUUAUCUUUGCUUAAUCUAUUGUUUUUCAGCAAGCUGUUAGACUCAUUCCUCGAGCUUUUUGUUCUGAUGACUGGUUUCAUACCAUGGUUGCAUCAUCAUUGGGCUUGAAAAAAUUUAUUAGUUGUUAUCGACUGAAAGAGGAAAUAUUUUGUCUUGCAUCAUUGAAUGAAGCCAUAAGCAUGUGUUAAUUUGUAUGUUUAGGUUUAUUUUUUAUUUUCAGUUCUAAGUUGCUUCUUGGUUUUAGGGUAAUUGCAUAAGCUUAUAAUGUGUAUAGUAAUUUGAUUAAUAUGUAUUUUUGUAGUAUUUUCUGCAGUGUUUGCUUUUUUAGGUUGUUAAUUUGUAUGAUGUUUCCUUGUUUAUAUUUUGAGUCUACUUGUCUUUAGGUAGAAGAAUAAGAUAGUCUGCUUAUAGUAGCUCUCCUUGUAAAUUGAACACUACUCUCGAGAAUUGUUAAGUCUCUUGUAAGUUUUUUAUUCACUAAACUCUAGAGAGUUGAUAAUUUUACAUUUGUUAUUGUUUCUUCAUGAUUAAGAUAAUGUCUGUUCUUCUUUAUUGAUAUUUUUGAUUGAUAGUUGUCUUGUCUCUGUCUUGCAUCUCAUCUUCUCAGCUUGAACUUGAAGAGUAUGGAUCUGAUACCGAAGAAGAAUAUGAUGGUGAUAUGAUUGAGGAAAAUGAAUGUCACGAAUCCCUUGCAGAAAAGCUUAAUCAUGCAUUUAAGGAGUGUGCCAUUGAUGGCUUGGAACUCAAUAAUUAUGGACCAGAUAAUGCGGAAUUGCUUGAACCUGAAGCUGAUGUCAUAAACCGGUGCAGAGAAUAUGCAGAGAAGUAUGAAAAUGAAGGUCCAGAGGAAGAAGCAGCUAUUUUUGAUGAAAGCAGCAGUGACUCAGAAGUAUGGGAUUGUGAAACUAUAGUGUCAACGUAUUCAAAUCUUGAUAACCACCCUGGAAAAAUUGUAGCUCCUGAAGCGAGGAGAAAAAAGUUGCUCCCUGCUAUUUCGGAAGCUUCGCCUAUAAUAUCCCUCAAAGGAAAAGCAAAUCUUCCUGUAGACUAUUUGCCUAGCAAGGGAAAGCAUGCCUUGCUAAAGGAGGAUAAGAAAAAGCAAGGUUCAGAAAAGGAGGGAAAGGACAACUCAAUGAAGGAGCAGCUCAAAAGAAAGCAACAUGGUCAAGAGUCAAAGGAGGAAAAGAAAGAAAGAAAGGUCAAUGGUUUUGUAUAUCAAUAUUUUCUAUUGUGGAAUUGUAUUGCUCGAUAUCUCUCUCCUUUGCUGAGCUCGUUUUACUUUGCCUAGUCCUUUUGGAUUUAUUUUUUCUUCUCAAUUGUACAUAAAACAUCUGAUAUAAUGUUUUAACAUUGAGGUUCUACCUUUUCAGGCUGCUGUGAAGGAAGAACGGCGUGAGGCACGCCGUAUGAAAAAAGAAACGAAGGAGCUAUACAAGUGCGAAGCACAGCGUGCCCAGAAGGUUGCUGCUUUUACCGGUCCAUCUGCCAUACAUCUCAUGUGAGUAUCCCUUCAGAAUUUGUGUCAAAAUCUGGCAACAUAUACAUGCCUUUGUAGUUUUGUAAGUCUGAAUUCAGGGAGAAGUCCUGUGUCUCCAUGGUUUUGCAAGUCUGAUGGAAAAGUGAGUAAGUUGCUAGGGCGUUGGAUGAAGUUUUGGUUGGAUGCUUGGUGCUUUGUUCAGCUUUGCCUUAGGGGGUGCAAUCACUAGAGUCCCAUGUCCUAUUCAUAGACAACUUCUUCCUUCUUUCUCCCAUUAAAUUCCAACGUCUUUCUAAUCAAUUUCUUCUACGUCAUCGUUGCUGAAAUUAUAUCUUUCUGAUAGAAAAAUUGCUGUCUUUGAGUUAGUGUUCACAACCCCUUGUAUCAGGCUUAUAUUUUUGAAAUUUUGUUUGGUGUUAAGCUCAUUGUUUUUUCCCCAAUUGCAAAGAGGUGUUCCGCAGGCUAGUUCAAGAACUCUAAAUACGCUUGCUCCCACGUUUAGUGCUUCUAAGCUAGAGAGACUUUAAUUCACUACAGCAUUGCAGUUCCUCUGUCAACAAACCAAAAAACCAUGAAGUUUGAAAUGCUUGGUUAAUGUUAAGAACCAUGAAAACCAGAUCUUCAUUAAAAAGAACCAUGAAAACCAGACACCAUCGACUCUAGGCGCUUUUGACAUGUAACCUGACAACUAGCUAGAUGGUAACAUUUAAAGAAGAUUUCGUCUACGGUCUAGCAAUCCAAAUCCAAUUCUCAACUAGCAAUCCAUUAUAUUAUGUCUUAAUGGCUAUUUUCUUGCCCCUUUAACUCAAAGCAAUAAUUAAACAAGAAGGUACUGAAUGUAGUUUUUUGUUGGCUUCAAAAUUCAAAAUUUCCUGAUGGUAAUUUACUUAUAAAAUAUCUGGUUGUGUUUCACAUUUAACAGUGGAGUAGCUUGUGGUUUAAAAAGAGAACUGAUAGAAUCUUCGGUCUGUUUAUUUUCUCACAGGUGACAUUAUUUUGGUUGUGUACUUUAAAGUCAAAGCCUUUGCAGCUGUAGUUGAUCCUCUAUUGCACCCAAAAUGGGAGCUUUUGGUUGACACGUUCUUCAAUUAUCAAGACGAUGUUCGAAAGCUUUUCUACUCUUAGAUGGUAUAUAAUACAUGAUAGAUCCUCAAAACAGUUCUCAGCUACAUAACGUAUGUGCAUGGUUAAGCAGAGUUGCAAUUUUGAUGAAUAUUUACGGUUUAAUUGGUGGAAUAUGCCGACUUCUGGACAUUCUAUGUAGCCCUUUUACAGUUUGUGAUGUUAUUGGAGUUUUAACAGUUCGCAAACUUCAUGUCCUGCAUUUAAUUCUAAAUUGUGUUUCAUUCCUGUUAAGUUUGUCAUUGUGGUCUGUGGAUUGAAAUUGGAUCCUUGGAGUUCUCUGUUCUCCUAGUGCUCAGCUAUAUCUGCAAUAUGCUUGAAUCUUUUUCUGUUGUGAUGGACAGACAAUUUGUUCAUAAGCAUUCACCAUAAACUUGUCUGCAUUUAUUUGGUAUCAUUACAAAGUGCGAAAUCUGAAUCAAGCAGAUAACAACUCUUACUUACAUCAUUACCUUAUAUCAUAUACUUUGCUUUAUAGCCAUAAUAAGGUGACAUAAAUGUAAGUGUACCUAAACGGUGAUUGCUGCUACUGAAUACUUGUACAAAUUAGACACUAAUAACUGUGUUUGGAUCACUUUGCCUUGUGCUCCUCCGUAUUAUGGCCGCCUCUCCCAUGAGGAAUAGGAGCUGGGUCACCUCUGCCGAAGUAUGGUGCUGGACUCAAGAAACCAUAAUCUUGGAAGUGUUCUUCUGUCUGAAAUUGAUAUGUGAUGUCUUUGAACUUGUUUAGUUGUUGUUCUUGGAUUGAGGCGUAAUUGUUGUUGAGCUGCUCUUCUUCCUGGAGUUGCAAGCUCAUCGAUGCUGGUGAAUCUGAUGGUGACAAUGGCGAUUUUGUAGCCAUGAAUAGUACUAUAAUAACCAGCAUACAUAAAAAGUGCAUGACUGACCUUACAGUAAAGAUUGGCAUGCGGAAGUGAUGUAUAGAUUGUUGUUAGUGAGUUUUGUCAAUUGAUGUUUAAGUUUAACUUGUGCUGGUGUUUGUUAUGUUUCAUGCAUUGGGGAUGACAUAAUCAUGGUUCUUGCAUGCACAAUUUUUGAGAAGCAGCUCAUGUCGUCACACAUUCAACUUCUUUCUAGUGCUAGUUUUCCUCCGAUUUAACCUUCUACCGUAAUUUUCGACUUUCAUGCUCUUUUAUCUAGGAUCAUGUUCUUAGGGUGUUGAAGGUGUGACAUGUCUUGGGGCAUUUGCUCUCUCCUUUUCGUACCCGAAGCAUUUAAGCCUCGUCAUUUAUUUUUUUCUUUCACCGCUUACUCCCCUUUUCUCACCUAAUUAGACGAUAAAACUAAAGCUAGUGCAUGUAAUAUUUUUCAAUACAUUCUACGAAACGAUUAUUAAGAUAUAAAUUGUCAUUCAGAAUCUCCUAUCUUUUUCUUUCACCUCUUGCUCCCCUUUUCUCACCUUAUUAGACGAUAAAACUAAAGCUAGUGCAUGUAAUAUUUUUCUAAUACAUUCUACCAAACGACUAAGAGAUAAAUUGUUAUUUAGAAUCUCCUAUCUUUUUCUUUCACCUCUUGCUCCCCUUUUCUCACCUUAUUAGACGAUAAAACUAAAGCUAGUGCAUGUAAUAUUUUUCUAAUACAUUCUACGAAACGAUUAUUAAGAUAUAAAUUGUCAUUCAGAAUCUCCUAUCUUUUUCUUUCACCCCUUAAUCCCCUUUUCUCACCUUAUUAGACGAUAAAACUAAAGCUAGUUUAUGUAAUAUCUUUCCAACAUUCUACCAAAUGACCCCUAAGAGAUAAAUUGAAAAUUUAGAAAAAGUUAUUCCGUUGCCGGGACUUGAACCCGGGUCUCUCGGGUGAGAGCCGAGUAUCCUAACCAACUAGACUACAACGGAUUUGCAAUAUUUCAUAGAGUGUUACUAUAUAAAGAAUAUAAUCUACAAAUCAGAAAGGUCAAAUUUGACUGCAUGUAAAAUGAAUCAUAUUCAAAAGUUGAAUGACAAAUUAUGAUAAUUUUUGUAGAAGAAUUUGAAUGCAUGAAGUUCAUUUAUUUUGUGUUAGUGCUUUGUUAAUAUCAAGGAGAAAAUGAAACAAUUUGUUAAAGUCAAGAAUAAAUGGAUCAAGAGUAUAUAAUAAUUAAUAAAUGACGAAAUAAAGCUAUUUUAAAUAGUAAAAAGAGCAAAUUUAGGCAUUUCCCCCGUUUAGAAUACUCCCCUUUUAUGAAAAGCCUUAAAGUAAAAGUCUAAUGACAAAGAAUAUCAUGAUUCAUAAUGAUAGUUAGGUCCCUGCUUAGUUUUAUACUUAUCUCUGUAUUAUUUCUAAUCAUUCCACUAUAAUACCAAAUUUUCAUAAUUGCACUCAGUGUUUAUACAAAAUAAUUAAUUUAGUAUUGAUCAUUAAAAAUCCAAACGAUGAUAAAUAUCACUUUUUUAAAAAUAGGAGCCGUGUAAUAUAAAAAUCCAUUGUCAUAAAUUAUGACGUAGGCUCAAUCAAGACAACCAGCCUAGGACACGGGCCUUCAUGAUUAAGUGAGAAAUUCGUAUAUAUAAAUUAAAUCUUUGCAUUCGUUUAAUAUAAAUAUGGAAUGGGGUAUAGUUUGAUCUUGGUGCCAAAUGGAUUUUGUAGAGCUAAAUAAUCAAGAAAUAAUAAAUGAAUAAGGACAUAUAAACAAAACAUUUUCUUUUAUACUAUAAUAAAUAAUAAAUAUUUUGCCUAAUGACUAGGUCAAUACAAUUUGCCAUUUGUGCAUUUGCUUCAUCAUUUGUCUGAUUGAUUAAUUAUUGUUGCUUCAGACCCACCAAUUCUUUAAUACUAAGAUUCUAUCUUCUUUUUAAAAAAAACUUGAUUAGUAUAGUCCAGACUGGCUUAACACUUAACCAACAUUCCCUUUUAAUAUGGCUUCCUAUAUACAUUUGUCAGGUAGUUACAGAGCUACAUUGACCCAAGAAAAAUUAAAUCUCCUUCGUCGAAAAAUUAUAUUCCAUGCAACUGAAACUUAUGUAUAGAAAGUUAUUAUUAUCUAUCUUGCUGUUUUUGCUAAUUGUUACUAUUACCUCUUUUUCAUUGUCUCACUCUCUUCAGUUGAGAGUCUUUCGGAAACAAUCUCUACCUUAUCAAGGUAGACGUAAGAUCUGCGUAUACUCCACUUGUGGCAUUACACCGAGUUUGUUGUUAUUGUUGUUGCAUUUACCUUCUCAUAUAUAACUUAGAUACAAAUACUAAAGAAAUCUAUGAACAAAUACUCUUGUGCUAACAAGUAGAAUCAAUUGUUGGAUAAUGCAAUAAAAUUCAUCCAUAGCCAUGUUCAAUACUAAAAAAUGAAAAAUCAAGGGGAGAACAUAGAACUUUACACUGGUGAACUUACAAGAGAUACAAUCCCUCAAAAGAGUCGGAAAAAAAGAAGAUUAAAGGCAACCCACAAAGAACUACAAGUCCCUAAAUAGUAAAAUACUGCCUUUUAAACAAAGAAUUGAUGGUCACAACUUGAAAGGAUUAUUGUACAAGGAGCAACAUGUUUCAUAAGCUAGAUAUAAUUCACACCAUGAACAUCUGAAAAACAUACACGCGUACGCGCUAGGCUAGGAAGCAGCAGGAGAGGAGGAGCCUUUAGAAUGGAUUCCGAACCACAUGCACUUAUCUUUCACUGCCUCAGCUUCACUAGCAUAUUCUUUAAAUCUGUACUCUUCUAGCUUGCUGGUUGGGGGUACUUUUCCUUCACUGUAACACUGACUGCAUAAGCUAAAAUGUGAUUUUAUCUCCUUAAAGCGAGACCCAAUGAUUGGGUAACGACAAGUUGCACAAACAUGGCUACCAUGACGAUUCCUAUCCCCCAUUUCAAGCUUCAGCAAAGUGGACAUUAUACCAAAACCCCAAUCAGGAUCAUCAAACAUUGCAGUGAAUUCUGCUAAAGACACUAAUGAUGUGUCCAUCUCCCCGUGAAUUUCUAGCAUUUCACUUGCUCCUUGGGAAGGAAUGUAAAUAGCUCUCAGCAGUUUAAUGUACCUUUGAGCAUCAGUUUUCCUUAUUUGGCUGCUACCCUCAUUCACAGGACGCCACAAAAGCGCCUCAUAUGCAAUGCGUUUUCUUUUGUCUGGUGAUCCUCCACAGACAGGAGCAAGAACAGCAAAGAACAUGCCCAGAUCCAGCCGACCUGAUUCUGACUCAUCUAAAACAGAGAGAACUUUCUGGUUAAUGGCUUUAACAGCACCUAUAAACGUUUCAGGCUUCAAGAAUUUAAGCAAUCUGUGCAGAAUCUCUUCCAGUGAAGCCUUGCGUAUUGACUUUUCAGGUACACCACCGGAAUAAGACAUUGGUACAUCAGUUUCAUUUAUUUCCUUCUUUAUCUGAUCAACAUCACAACGAUUAAGACGAGUAAUCCUCUGAAAACUUCUAAUAUCGAGAGCAGUAGAUAAAUCUGCUCUCAAUGUGGUUUUCUCACCCACGGACUUGAACUUAGAGGGUUCAACAAUGAUAAAGGCCUCCUCCCCAUUGCCACCACCAUUACCCUUCAACUUCUUUUUCUGAAGUUGUUUCAAAUGUGCUACUGCAUCAUGCAAUUCCACUCUGUUCGUCAUCUUCAGAGCUUCUUUCAAAGCUUUCUUAGCUUCCUCAGUUUCCCCAGCCCCCAAUAAAGCCACAGCCUUAUUGAGAUGUGCUCUCCAGUGAUUCGGCCAAACACUUAGUACCCUAGUGUACAUCUCUGAAGCACGCUGAUAUCUACCCAUAUCCAUGUAUAGUCCACCUAAAUUGUACAAGGCAUCAACAUGGCCAGGUUUCAAAUCAAUAGCUCUCUGAAACUCCUUGAUAGCAUUAUCAUCAUCACCCAUUGCGUGCAAUGCAGAAGCAAGAUCACAAUGUGCAUCAGCAUAGUCACUCUUCAUAUAGAUGGCCUCUUCUAAUGCCUUAACAGCUGCCUUAUACUCAAUAGCAUUAUCAUCAUCACCCAUUGCGUGCAAUGAAGAAGCAAGAUCACAAUGUGCAUCAGCAUAGUCACUCUUCAUAUAAAUGGCCUCUUCUAAUGCCUUAACAGCUGCCUUAUACUCACCCACGCCAAAAAGUGCACUACCCAAAAGUUUCAAAGCUCUAAUUGAGUUACUAAUUGAAUCACAAGAACUUUCAGACAUGGUUUUAGGUCUGAUUUGAGGGAGACGACAGAUAGAUGAAAAAUUGACUACAAAAUUAUGACCAACACACGAUAGAUUCGACAAAGACAAGGUGAAAUCGAUGAGACAAAGUGGAAUCGACGAAGACAAAUUGGAAUCGCGGCAACGACCAGGGUUUUGUUGUGAGGGAUACGCGGGGACCUCCGACUAGGGAAAAGGGACGAAUUUUGGUGUUUUAAUUAGGAUCCUUUUAGAGGAAUGAGUUGGACACAAAAUAGCAGCCUCUCUAUAAUGUUCACAGGCACUAAUAACCAUACCUUCGCCUUCAAGGGCAAUUCCCAAAUUCACAUGAAUCUGAGGAAGCAAAUAAGCCCACUGACUGCCGCCAGCUUCAGCAGCCUCCAAUGCCAGCAAGAACUCCUCUUUCGACUCACUAUGUCUCCCGAGCACAUACAAACAAUUGCCAGCCCUGAAAUGUGGCCUAACAUCAGCAGGCUGCAACUCACAAGCUCUCUUGAAGCUCACCAAUGCUUCCUUAAACAAAUGUUGAUCAUACAAAACCCUGCCAAUUGCCAUGUGACCAUCAAAAGCUUCUUCCCUUGACCUCGACCCAUCAGCCCUCGACCUCAACACACCCAACUCCUUCACAAACACAGCAUAGUCAUGUCCAGUCUCCUCCCAAUUAACCCGUUUAUCCGUAAUCUCAGUCGAAGGCCCUAAUUCCCUCGACCAACCUUCCGAAUAAACAUCAGAAUUAUCAUUCUUCAGCUUCCCAUCUUUCGAUUGUUUCGAUUUAAGCCUCUUGAUCAAUAUCUCAAGGUCAUCUACAAGCUUCCAAGUAUCAUCAAACACAAUGCCAUGAUUCGGAGAAGCUGCCCAAGCUGCAGUCCGCUGUUUCUUAUGCGGCUCCAUCACUCUCUCAUCCGCAAUCGACGACGACGAAGCCUCUUCCGCAGCAAUUGAAGUUCCAGCAUUAUCCUCCGGCUUAAGCUCAAGCCCAAGCGCGUCAAAAUCACGAUCAACAUCACCAGCACCAUCAUCAUAGGUACGCAAAAGUCCCUCAUAAGUAAGCCCCUUUUCACCAUCAAUAAACUCGCUGUACGUACGGAAAACCUCAUCGAGAAUAGCAUUAAUUUGCUCUUCGCUAAACUUAACCCUAGGGUUUACAGCGACCACCAAAGCUGCCAUUUCCUCUCGAUUAAGACCCCCAUCAUGGUUACCGUCAAAUUGCUGAAAAAUCCUCUUCACCUUCUCCGAUCUGCUUCCCCUCGAAGCCAUUUUCCAAAAUUAACGCCAAUUCAAGUACAAAUUCUAACCUUUCACGUAAUUGGGUGUCGAAAACUUCAGUCAAGAUUCAAACUUGGUGAAUAAAAGGUAGAGAAUCUGUAAAAAAUAGGGUUUUAUACUGAAAGCAAAAAAAGAUAGGAUUUUUAGGGUUAGGGUUUCAAAAGGAAGAUAAAUUAAGGAAAAUGGGAGAAAUAGAGAAAUGGGUAUUGAAAAAAGAUGAAUUUUUUGGUAGCAUUUGGAUCUGGAGAAUGAGAAAAGGGAAAAGAUGAAGAGGAAGAAGAAGAAGACAACUGUUUUCUGUUUACAUUUUUUUUUCCUUUUUGUUCUUCUUCUGAUUGUGACGAUAGGGAGUGGUGGUGGGGCAGAGUGACUGGAAAAUUUCAAAGAUCAUAGAAUUUUAUUUUUAUUUUUUUUGCUUUUUUUCAAUUUGUUUGGCUAAAAUAAGAAAAAGUUUCCAACUGUCAAAGAAAAAAAAAGGUAAUUAGUUAAAAAGAAAGUGAUUUUUGAGAUUUUACAUUUUAAUUGGUAGAUGAGAACAUGGGAGUUAAUUAUGAUUAGUACUGUAAUAAACACCAAACAUGUCAAUGUCAUGCAUUAUUUGUUUUGGUUAGGUUAAAGUUUAUCUACCUAGGGUAUUUUUAAAUUAAGAGGUUAAUAAUGUGUAUUGUUUAGUUCAUUUCUCAAUUUCUAUGUAACAUCAAUUAAUAUGAAUAUUGUGAUAAAAUAUUUAUAUCAAUUAUUAUUUUUAAAGAGUAUGUAAAAUUCAAAAUAGACAAAUAAAAAUGAAUGAAUUAAAGAAGACACGCUUGGUUCGAAGGUGAUGGAGGAAGUAUGAUUUAAUGAUAAUCAUGUUUGCAAAGGCUUAUAGUCUAUGCAUUUUAUUGAGUUGUGGUGAAUAUCCGAUGUGAAUAAUUCUUUACUAUUUUGGUGUGCAUAUUUAGUCAUAUGUUUUGUGAAAUCAUAUUUAACUUCUAACACAUUUUAUUACAUUUGUAAUUGUUUUCAUGUUUCAUUAUAUUUAUUUUGAUUACGCUUAUGAAGAGACACACAUUAAUAGUAUUAGCUGUUAAAUACGAAUGAAAUUUUGUAGUAGUGACUAGAUCUACGGUUUAUAAGUUUCGAACCGCUAUAAUGACUGAACCUAAUAAUACAAUUAUUAUAUCACUUCAAAUUUUAUAUUUAUUUUAUGACGAUUAAUUUACAUUUACAUCGAAAACUCUCUUUUGUUUAGAAAGUUAGUUCUUCAUACCUUUUCUUCAUAAAUUUUACCUUUUGCAUUGAGAAUGAAACAAGAAAUUUCUGGAUUACCCUUAGAUCGAAUUGAUUUUGCUGUUUAAUUUGGAAAAAAGAAAGUCAAAUUUAAAAGUGACAUAUAUAGAGAUAAAUAUUAUAUUUUCCUUGAAAGUUACACAUUGCAUUGUCAUAACCUUGUUCUUGUAGUUAACUUAUUCUUGAAAAUUAUUAUUAAUUAGUAUUAUUUCAGUGAUAUUGAUUGAUGAGUUGAGGAAUUAAUGAACAAAAAUACAACUCUAGAAUCUUAAAUCCCAAGUUUACUCACAUUAUGAAGUUUUCUGCUAACUUCAUGGCUGCCACUCAUCCUAUUUCUAUCUUCUAAUAAUUUUUAGUCAAUGUUGAAUGUUGAUCAUUAUUUAUUCAUGAUGUGGCAAGACAAUUAUCAUAAAUUAAAACUCUAAUUAUUAACUUGAAAACUAUAUUUCCACAACUUAUUUAAAUGGAACCAAAAUCAUAUCGAGACGUAGAAAUAAUCCCAGUAGUUCAAAUUCCCCUUUUUAACUACAUGAUCAUGAUCAUACAAUGUGCUUUAGUUUUCAUUUCACUAGAACAACACAAUUUAGCAACUUAGUCCUAUAAGUGGGAUCUAGAAAAGGCCAUAUACGAAAACUUUAUCCCCUAUCUGUAGCGUAGUAAACUAUUUCCGAUCAAACCUCCGCUUAAGAAAAACAAAAAACACAACAUUUAUGAAGUUACCAUUUGCAUAAAUAACUUAUUUUAAAAAUAUAUCCACAAAUGAAACAACAACAUGGACACCAUGUAAAGAGUGACCUUGAAAAAACCAAUAAGGAUUGUGAUGAAAUGGUAAGUAUUUCUUCAUCUUUAACCAGAGGUCUCGGGAGAGAACACUUUACCCUCAAUAUGAGACUUUCCAAAAUGAAUUUAAAUUUAGUCAAAUUCUAAUGUGAUAUCAAUUAUCGAGUGGAAAAUAAAAAACACAUGGACAUAAUGUAAAGAGUGACCUUGAAAAAAAAGCCAUAUGGUGCAAAUGGAUAAAAAUGUAAAAUUUUCUCAUUUCUAACGGUGCUUAUUUAAUUCCUUACAAAUUCCAGUUGAGUCGUUAUUGUUUUAGCGGUAGCUGUUUAUUUCAAAGCUCCGUACAAAUCGCUUAAAAAUGCAAACACAGAAAACAGUGAGCGUCGCAGAAAAAUUCUCAGCUCAAAUUUGUUACAUUUUCUCCACCAUAAAUCUCAAAUUCCGAGUUUUUAGCGUGUUUUCAGCUCACCCCAUUAUCUUUACAACAGCAAAUAUCAUCAUCUUCACCUCUCCUCCCAAAAAAAAAGAAAAAAAAUCAUCACAGUUUCUUCUUUUUCUUGCAUAAACCACAAAAUUUUAAUUGCUGUACUUUGGUUUGCCAAAGAUAAUUUUCAAAUACCACUACCAGCACAAAAGGUGAGCAAGGUGAUGAUUAUAAUAAUUUGAAAAAUAUAGAACUUUUUGUAAAUGAUUAUGGUUCACAGGUUCAGUUUGUGGGGUUGAGGUGUUUGAUGAAAUGCGUCUAAGAACUGCAUGUUUAUGAGCUAAAGAACAAUUUUUUAGGUGUUUUUUGUUACUGUUUUUUUCCUCAGUUUGUGGGGUUGAGUUGUUUGACAGAAUGCAUUCAAGAGUUGCAUUUUUAUGAGCUAAAGAGCCCAUUUUUAGGUGUUUUUUUAUUACUGAUCUUUCUCAGUUUGUGGGGUUGAGUUGUUUGACAAAAUGUAUCCAAGAAUUGCAUGUGUAUGAGCUAAAGAACCCAUUUUUAGGUGCUUUGAUUUCCAAAACUAUUUUGCUUAGUUUGUGGGGUUGAGUUGUUUGACAGAAUGCAUCCAAGAAUUGCAUGUUUAUGAGCUAGAGAACUCAUUUUUAGGUGCUUUGAUUUCCAUUACUAUUUUUCUCAGUUUGUGGGGUUGAGUUCUUGACAGAAUGCAUUCAAGAAUUGCAUGUUUCUGAGCUAAAGAAAAUAUUUUUAGGUGUUUUUUUGCAUUUUAUUUCCUGAUGUUCUGUUGUCUGAAUUUUGGCAGAUAAGAAGAUUAUAUACGAGGUUUCGAUCAAAUUAGGCAUAUACAGAGAGUAGGGAGGUGGUUAUAAGGCAGUUCCUCUCUUUUAAUACAAAGAGAGGGACCAUAUGAAGAUUUGUGAUUCAUUGAUAUAAUCUAUUUGCUGGUCCUCUUCAAGUGCAUUGAUUCUGGGGAAAGAAGAGGGUGCUAAAAAUGAGCUCAGUGUAUGGGGAGGAGGCAUCUCAAUAUGGUGAUGAUCACGGAUCAGUUGCACAUGAAGAGAAAGAGAAGAUUUUUGUUGCAGUUAGAUUGAGACCUUUGAAUGAGAGGGAGAUUACAUGUAACGAUGUCUCGGAUUGGGAAUGCAUCAAUAACACCACAAUUUUGUAUAAAAAUUCUAUGUCAGAGCGUUCAUUGUUUCCAACUGCUUGUGCAUAUGGUAAGCUUCUUCACAUUUUCAUUUUCCUUUGCGUUGUGCUUUUAUUUUUUGAAUUGAAAAGAUUCCUCCUUAAAAUUGGUAUAUGCAAUUGAACAGACCGAGUAUUUGGGUAUGAUUGCUCCACAAGGCAGGUGUAUGAGGAAGCCGCCAAAGGAGUUGCUCUUUCAGUUCUUAGUGGUAUUAAUUGUAAGUACUAACCCUUGUUCACGGUCCAUUUUCUUCACCUACGUAAUGAUGUUACAGUAAUAACGUAUGAAAUGUCUUUGCAGCAAGUAUCUUCGCAUAUGGACAGACAAGUAGUGGGAAAACGUAUACUAUGUCUGGAAUCACCGAAUACACAUUAGCAGAUAUAUAUGAUCAUAUAUGCAGGGUGGGUAAACCUUUCCUAUUCUCCUAUGCAAUUUAUUUAUGUUGUACAGAAUUCAGAGUGUCUGAUGCUUUUAAGGUACCUUUUUAUUUUCAAAAACUUUUAGACCGUAGACCGAGAAUUUACACUAAAAUUCUCUGCCAUGGAGAUAUACAAUGAAGUUGUUAGAGACCUUCUAACCCCAGAGGACACUCCACUUAGACUCCUCGAUGAUCCAGAGGUGAAUAUAUGUUUUAAGCAUGAUCAAGUUUUGUUUUAUUCACAGACAAUAUUAUGCAAGUAAGUAACCUCUUUCGUUUACAGAGAGGGACUGUAGUUGAAAAACUUACAGAGGUAACACUGAAGGACUGGAACCAUCUAAAAGAACUGUUGUCAGUAUGUGAAGGUAAAAGGCUGAGACUGCUAUAUAGUGUUUCCAGCAGGUUAAUAUGAUAUAACUUCAAUUGUUACCAUUCUUGCAGCUCAAAGGAAAAUAGGAGAAACUGCUCUCAACGAAGUGAGCUCAAGAUCUCACCAGAUUCUGCGUUUGGUUAGUGCAUUGGUUACAAGAUGGUUUAUGAAUAAUAAUAUAUAAAGGAAAUAUAUCAUUUUCUUAACUUGGACAAAUGAUCUUUUUGCAGACAGUUGAAAGUACCGCUAAGAAAUUUGUUGGCUUAAACUCAAGCACUCUGACAGCUGCAGUGGUGAGGAAAAUUACCUCUGCACAGACAUCACUUAGAAGGAUCAUUGGAGUCCUUGUAAGUUCCUAUGAAAAUGAUUGAUGGACAAUAUUUUGUUCUUUUUCCUGCAGAAUUUUGUUGAUCUUGCUGGAAGUGAGCGUGCUUCUCAAACCAUGUCAGCAAAUGUAAGAUUGAAAGAAGGCAGCCACAUCAAUCGCAGUUUGCUGACUCUUGGAACUGUCAUUCGCAAAUUAAGGUUGCCACAUAACUACAGUUUGCUGAGCUUCAAAUUUAUUUUUGUUUUGGCUUCUUCCUUAGAUCGCUAAAAGGCUAUUUCAAUAAGUCUUGUUCAUUGAUAUAUCUUUGUACUUUUAUCAGCAAAAAAGGAAAUGGACAUAUUCCUUUCAGAGACUCGAAGCUGACACGCAUACUACAGAAUUCAUUGGGAGGCAAUGCCAGAACUGCCAUCAUUUGCACCAUGAGUCCUGCACAUAGCCAUGUUGAGCAAUCCAGGAACACUUUGUUGUUUGCAACUUGUGCCAAGAAUGUCAUUACUAACGCAAAAGUUAACGUGGUAAUGUCAGAGAAGGCACUGGUGAAACAAUUACGAAAAGAACUAGCUAGAUUGGAAGCUGAGCUAAGGAGUUUAUCGGCACUUGCUGCCUCAGGUGGAUCUGCAGAGGCUCUGAAAGAAAAGGAGGAUCUGAUAGAAAAGGUAGCAAUGGUGACUUAACCUUCGCAAUAUCUAGUAUUCUGGGAAAAUCCUACAAUAUCUUUUCAUACAUUAUUCUUCAACCUAAUUGUGAUCUCUUAGGACUUCUCCAUCAUGCCUAAAAGACAUGCAAGACAAGAAUUGCUCCAAAACUAAAUGUCUCAAUGAUGAUUUAUCUUUUGGUUUGCUAUGGAUCUCAAAAACUUACUGUUUUAGCAUCAAACAUGUGAGUCUAUUAAUACAUAUGGCCGCUUUUUGGUGCAGUUUGGGCGCAGGACUUUAGUAUUUGUCAUAGAUGACAGUUCAGAUUCAGUGUUUCUCAAUGAUUAAAUAUUUAUCCAACUUCAAUUGCUUGAACUUCGAUCUAAGUAUAGUGGCUUUCAUUCAAGACAAGACAUCCAUAACCUAUUCCCUUUUUGUAUGAUGAUGCAGAUGAGCAGAGAAAUAAGGGAGUUAACCCAGCAGCGUGAUCUUGCUCAAUCUCGUUUUCACAAUUUUCCAAGUUCAGGGUCAUGGGUACGUGUAGUUAGUCUUGAAUGAGCUCAUAAACUUUUCAAUUCAUAAUAUACAUCAGGGAGCUUGAUCUGUUCUCUUUCUCAUGUAGACUGAACUGAGUAGUGUGUCAUCUCCUGAUAAGGCCCAAUGGCUGGAUGACUGUGCAGCAUCAGAAGUAUCAGAAUGUGUAUAUCCUUUUCGUCCUGAUGGCGCUGUAUAUCAAUAUGGCAGAUACGAAGGCCUUAAUUCUAACAAGCUAGGGGAACAGAUUCCUGAACCUCCAGAAGAUCAGUAUCUCUGUGAUGACACCUCCCCAAGGCUGUUUAUUGAGAAAUAUUUUGGACCUGAUCCAUGCAAGGGAUGGGAAAACAGUGCUCAAAGAACUGUUCAAAAUUUGGAAGAUAACUGCAAGGAAGUUCAAUGUGUUGAAGUGGAUUCAAACACGAAGAGUAUAAGCUCGGAUAAACAUUCAUCACCUCGAAAGGGAGAUCAGGAGUCGAGUUUCAUUGACAAAGAUCAUAACGAUAAAGAACCAAAGCAAACUAGCAAUCUGGUCGUGGAACACUCUUCUUCUUCUUCUUCCGACACAGAUUCUGACUCAAAUAACUUACCAAGGAGCAGAAGCAGUGAAGCAAUAAUGAUUAACGUGCCAGUAUCAGAAGGAUCUGAAGUAAUUAAGGAAAAUGGGGACAUAUCAAGUGAAUCUGAGGAAGAGUCAUCUAUUAAAAAGAUUGAUAUUGAGGAGAAAACUUCUCAACCGGAGCUUUCUGCUGAUAAUGUUAAGGUGUUAUCAAAAGAACACAACCACAGUUUCACGAUUGAAGUAAAGCUCAAAAUGUCAGGUGAAGACAGUGAGAAGAUUUGUGUUGAGGAACCCAAAAUGUUAGGUGAAGAUAGCACAAAAAUUUGUGCAGAGGGUGAGGUUGCCAAAUCUGUGCCUGAGAAGCAAUCAGGGGAUAAUUUGGUAAGUAGCUAACUUGCUGCUUGAGAUUAAUAGCUAGAACUGCACAUCCUCUUUAACACAAAAAAAUUCUUAAAUGCUCUGCUAGUGUAUACCCAUUUACAUACUUAGAUAAGUUCGUUAAGAGAUCAUAAGAAAUUAACUUUAUCUUGUUAGGUCCAGGAUAAUGAGCCAACCUCCAAGGACUUGGGAAACUUUGCCGGUGAUUCCUUGAAUUCAGAGAAUGAAUCAGAAUUAUCUCCUUCUAGACAGUGGAUGGAAUUUGAGAAACAAAGGCAAGAGAUAAUAGAACUAUGGAAUGCAUGCAAUGUGCCCCUUGUUCACAGAACAUACUUUUUCCUACUCUUCAAAGGGGAUCCAACUGACUCAGUUUACAUGGAAGUGGAGCUUAGAAGACUGUCCUAUCUUAAGAACGCAUUCUCUUUAGGAGCUAAAGUUGUGAAAGACGGUCAAAUUUUCUCACAGGCAGCAAGGUACUCAUUUAUAUCUUUUUAUUUUCUGUAGUUUUUGGAGAUUGCUUGCAUGGGCUGCUAUGUCUUAGAGUUCUUGUCCCACUUUCACAAGCAAUGAGACAAGACAAAAAUUUAAUAUAGGGAAAAUGGUCAAAAAUACCCUUCUACUAUCUGAAAUAUCUUAUUUUACUCUCCAUUACACUUUAGGAUCAUUCAUACCCUUCCUUAGCAAUUCGUCUCAUAUUUACCCAUGAUGAUAACGAAGUUCUAACAUGAAGUAUAACAAAGGGUAAUUUAACCAAAAGUAGAGUCUUAACACCUUUUUCCUAGAAGUAUUUUGACAUGUGAAGUCCACAUUAGAGCUCUGCUAAAGUCAAGGGCAAAUACGAGACAAUGUGCUAACAGCAAGGAUAUGAAUUAUCCAAAAAUAUAGUGGGGAGUAAGAUUAAGAUAUUUUGUACAGUAGAAGGGUAGAUUUCGAAGUUUUUUCCUUUAAUAUAUUUCAAGCAUGUAAAAUUCAUCUAUCUGAAAGUGUGAUAAAAUAUUGAUGCAAAAGUACUCUUAUCCUUUCGAACAGUUUAAAUGCUCUGAAUCGCGAGAGGGAAAUGCUGAGCAAGCUGCUUCUUAAGAAGCUUUCUUCAAAGGAGAGAGACAACCUAUACGAGAAAAGGGGCAUUGGUCUAAAAACUAAAAGGAGAAGACUUCAACUGUGUCAUCAGUUAUGGAAAGAUACCAAAGACAUGGAUCACAUUAAGGAAAGUGCAGCACUCAUCUCAAAAUUAGUUGGAUUCGAAGCACAAAACGAAGUCCCAAAAGAGAUGUUUGAACUCAACUUCUCACCAGGGCCAAAAAAUCUCAGGUCUUUCAGCUGGAAACCAAGAAAAGCCUAAUGUGAUCUUCUAAAGCAAAAGAUUUAAGGAUUAUUUGAAGCAUUGUAGUAGCUUCAAAAUGAAUUGACCCCCCCCCCCCCCCCCCCNNNNNNNNNNNNNNNNNNNNNNNNNNNNNNNNNNNNNNNNNNNNNNNNNNNNNNNNNNNNNNNNNNNNNNNNNNNNNNNNNNNNNNNNNNNNNNNNNNNNNNNNNNNNNNNNNNNNNNNNNNNNNNNNNNNNNNNNNNNNNNNNNNNNNNNNNNNNNNNNNNNNNNNNNNNNNNNNNNNNNNNNNNNNNNNNNNNNNNNNNNNNNNNNNNNNNNNNNNNNNNNNNNNNNNNNNNNNNNNNNNNNNNNNNNNNNNNNNNNNNNNNNNNNNNNNNNNNNNNNNNNNNNNNNNNNNNNNNNNNNNNNNNNNNNNNNNNNNNNNNNNNNNNNNNNNNNNNNNNNNNNNNNNNNNNNNNNNNNNNNNNNNNNNNNNNNNNNNNNNNNNNNNNNNNNNNNNNNNNNNNNNNNNNNNNNNNNNNNNNNNNNNNNNNNNNNNNNNNNNNNNNNNNNNNNNNNNNNNNNNNNNNNNNNNNNNNNNNNNNNNNNNNNNNNNNNNNNNNNNNNNNNNNNNNNNNNNNNNNNNNNNNNNNNNNNNNNNNNNNNNNNNNNNNNNNNNNNNNNNNNNNNNNNNNNNNNNNNNNNNNNNNNNNNNNNNNNNNNNNNNNNNNNNNNNNNNNNNNNNNNNNNNNNNNNNNNNNNNNNNNNNNNNNNNNNNNNNNNNNNNNNNNNNNNNNNNNNNNNNNNNNNNNNNNNNNNNNNNNUUUCCCCCCCCCCCCCCCACCUAAUUCAUGUAAAGUUUAGAAGUUUAACCUCCCCCAUAGUAUCUAAUUAUACACAAAAGAUGUCCCAUACUUGUACUUAAUACACCUUCUCCCUACUCAUCGACGAGCUUUAUCAAUGUACAUUAUGUAAAUUCAAUCCACAACCUCGAGAUCUCAAGUUCAGAGAGUCAUCCCUGUAUGUAGAUAUAAGUGGAAGAUAUAUUGCAGCUUAUAUGUAUGUAAAAUAAGACUCAAAAUCAUUGGGACAGCAUAGGAUAAUUGUCUUCAAAAGGCAUCAUAUUUUGCAGUUUUUUUGUUCUGGUUGGAAUAUAAACCCACAAAACCUUCUUUUCCUUCUCCUUGUAUGAUUGAUUUUCCUGGGAUACUUAUCAAUAUAUGCAGUUAAGCCAACUAGUUUACAAAAUUAUGUACAAAAAUGACCCAAAGUAUACACACCCAAUACGUUGUGUACAUAUUUUGUAAAUUAUAUCAUCCAAAGGCACUAGGGUGUAAGUUCCUGUAAAUAAAACGUCCUUAAAAGGAAGCGAUAAAAACAGUAACUUAUCCAUCAUACUUAACAGUAAUCCAGCAACAACCUUUGGUUUCAUUAUAGCAUUUAACUCGAGAUGAAUCCUGAUCAUUUUUUCGACUACACUCAGCAAUUCUAUGAUCGAAACAGAGGUACAUUACAAUUAUGCCAAAACUAACCAUUUACCUGACUUUGACAGUAAAGCAAAUUAAACAAAAAGAUGCACUUUACAUGAAACUUUGUAAACAUAUACAUCCAUUAUCGCGAUUUAAGAACGGCUCCUUCCACAAUUUUCCAACCGGAGUUUGCCCAGGACAUGUCGUACCUAGUUGUAUAGAUAGUACUGUAUGAGUCAUUGUUCUCCGGAUGGGCUACAUCAGUUAAGCUUGCUGAUUCCUCCAGAGUAGCUUCCACAGUAGCACGUCGGCCAUCAGCUGAGACAGUCACACUGUCAAUGGCAAGGUUUAAAAGCUUGUACUCCCAAAACCAACCAUGCUGCGCAAUUUCUGUUGCACGGUCUGUCCAAAUCUUCAGCAUCUGACCAUCCAAAACCUGUCAUUUUGAACAAUGUUGUCAGGCAAAAUACAAAGAUGACACCAGAAAUUGAUAAGAGGUGGAUAAGCUGCAUUUGGACUACAGCAAACAAAAAAAAAGAUGCUGGGUAGUUCCUCAUGGAGCAACUAAACAAUUGUUUGUCUAGUACUUGUACAGCAAAACAACUCGUGUUGAGCAGCUGAAUUCUACAAGAAAUCAUUUGGCUCUUACAAACAGUUGUGCAUAUGGCAUUUUGCUAUAAAGAUAAUAUCAUAACAUUGUAUAGAAAUUGAAAUAGAGCAGCUAACACACAAUCCUACCCGUUGCUUUGGCAGGAAGUAAAAUCCAUUAAGAAUUGUCUCAAGGCAUUCAGGUUCUAUUGCCUUUCAUGUCAUACUAGUGAAACAUAAUCAACACUAUAAAAAGAAAGGCAUUACAUAUUCAUACCUCUGACAAUCUGUUGAGACAGUGAUCGGUUCCAAGAGACUGGGACUUGAUAUUCUGCCACUUCCGAACUAUACUUUCUGCAAGCCUUGCAUCCAUUCUAGGAACCUCAAGAGGAUUUUCAACUGGUGAGGCAGAGGCAUCUGCAGUAGCAGAUAAAAUUUCUGAAAUUCAGAAGAAAGGGAAGGUUGGAGAAAGAAAGCAGAACUGAAACCCUCACAAAAGAAUUUAAAAGAACCCCAGACUCAAGAAAAUAUAAUAAUAACAAUAACAGAAGAAGAUAAUUUUUAUUAGAUAGCUGUACAACUACCACUUGUAACAAAUUAUUAGAAAUUUUCUCUCGAAUCCAGGUCGUUGAAUGAAGCAGCAGAGAAAAGAAAAAGAGCAUGGCUCCAUAGGUCAUAUUUGGCGAACCCCGAGAGUUAUUUAGAAACUAAAAUGGUCAGUGAGUCAUACCCACAUUGAUGACAUCCGAGGCAAUGGCUGAACCAGUAGCACUAGCACUAUGUUGAACUGAAGACCCAUGUCUAAAGGAAGAAAGCUUCAAUCCAACCAAAGUCAAGAACCCAAUCGCUACUCCAGCACACAUAAUCUUCACACUUGCAUCUUUUAUUCUGUCAGUUAUCACAUCUUGCUCUUGAUAGUUAGAACUCUUUCUCUCAGGAUCCCCAACAGUCGUGAUAAAAUUAUUUUGAUCACGGAGUUCUCCAAGAUCCUCAAAUGGCUUGGCAAUAUCAAAUUCGUUCAUCUCAUUGUCGCCAUAUCGUCUUACGCUGCCUUCCCCAUCACCAGCAGGAAAAACUUUCUGUAAUGCCUGAAUUGCACUGGCCUUAACACUAUCAAGCACAGCUGUAGCUUCAGCUCCAAUCCUUGCAAUAGCUGCAGCAGCAGCUAAAGGUGAAGCACCACCACCUUCCAGCCUUUCCAAAUAUCUUAAAACAGUAGGGUCAUCAUAAUAGUCUCCAAGCUUGAAAGUGACAUCUUCUGUCUCUCUAAAUCUGGGAAAGACUACUUCCAUCAACCAAGUCUCCAAAAGCUUACAUAGUCCAGGGAGCAGAUCAUUUUCGUUGUCAUCCUUCGAGUGUUCUGCAACAAAAGUCACUAUAGAUGGAUCUCUAUAAGGGGAGUCCUCACUGUCUAGGCCCAACCAUGAGCGACAUCCAUCAACUUCUCCAACAAGCAGUGAACAAAGGCCCCUCUCCAAAGCGAAGUCUAUUUCACGGUUUUCUCUAACAGUGUAGACAGACACAGAACUGCCGUAAGCUGUAACUUUGGUCUGCUGAAGCUGCUGAAAAAGGUUAUCAGCAUCUUGAAUGAGAUGAGGUUUUUUUCCAACAAAAGCUUGAGCAACAAGUGCAAGCGCAACCCCAUAAACUUCAAAGCUUUCUGCAGGAAUGUUACUUGGCGUUGCGACGAAGAGGUCCACCUUUUAAAAAGAAGAAGAGGAAAAUGAAGAAAAGGAGUGAAACGAACAGUUACAAAAGAAACCAAAAAUAUAUGAAUGAAGUUAAGCCAACCUGUUCAGAAGCUGUCAUCUGUAGGAAGGCCUCAUUCAUGAAAUCUUCUCGUGUGAACCCCCCUGAAAUUGCAGCUGCUCCUCCUCCUCCAACAGCCCACAAAAUAUUGCGCACACCUUGAAGACCCUCUGCUCUUUUCAUUCGGUAUUCAUCACCAAGAGGAAAAGCUAGAAGUUCAAGUACGUAGCGUGGAUUUAUCUCUUCCAACGUCUCAUCUAUCUGGGAUUGCAGAUCAAGGGCAAGAUUACUUGCACCUUCUUCCUAGAAAAUGAAGGCAGAAAGUUCCUCAUUAUUUGCUCUUCACUGUAAGCUUACAAUUCUCCCCAAAAAAGGCAUGCAUCAGCAUUCAAGCAGACGAGAGGGAAAGAAAUAGUGCACAGGCACACACACCAUACACACAAACAUUACCAAAAACAAACAAUAUCUAAGACUAUUGAAUGAUGAAUGACCAAGAAGAGCGCUACAGACGAGAGGGAAAGAAACAGUGCACAGGCACACACACCAUACACACAAACAUUACCAAAAACAAACAAUAUCUAAGACUAUUGAAUGAUGAAUGACCAAGAAGAGCGCUACAGACGAGAAGGGAAAGAAACAGUAGCAACAGGCAACACACACCAUACACAACAAACACUUAACCAAAACAACAAUAUCUAAGACUAUUGAAUGAUGAAUGACCAAGAAGAGCGCUAUACUCAUUAAUAGGUAAAUCAAAAUGAAGUUAGCAAUCAGUACAACGAUACAAACCCUCUUCCACUACUAGAGUAGUUUGUUAAGAGACAUUUGCAGCUGUAAAUAAGCUGUAGUCAUAGUGCAUAAACUAAAGAAAACAGCUAUUUCCAUGUGUGUUCCCUUUAUAGAAUUUCAAAUAUACCAUCACAUUCACUCUAACUUACUCAUAUCAUCAGAAGUCACUAUACCUGUAACAGCUUAAGUGCUCUUUCAAGCAGUUCACAACCUUGAACAAAAUCAGGAGGUGAAAGUGCCAUUGCAUCUCGCGAAUGGUCAACAUAUGCGAGUGCCAUAGCCAAGACCACAUCUUGCUUGAAUGACUUUGGCAUCCGCUCUUUCAGCAAGCUUUCCCCAAUCUGAAGAACUACUUCAGUCUCACCAGCUUCUUGCAAAACACACAUUGCUCCCGGAACCUGUAAAAGCCAUGACAUUCUUUUAAAUUCUUUGCAUCCCACUAAAACUUUAGAAUAUUUAAGUUUUAUAACCAACCCAGGUACAACUUUUAUUACACUAUCAGUUAGUUAUGCAUUGAGAGCUAAUUACAAGUAAUUUCUAGCAGUAAGUGUAGACUGAUAAUCUGGAAAAUAGGUAAGUGACAUGCUACAACAGGUUAAAUUUACACUGGUCAUGUACAAAAAAAUUUCUUUAAUUUGCACAACUUAUACAAUUACCUUUACCAAUAGUAAGUGUGGUUUGGUAAUCUGGAAAAUAAGGAAAGCAACAAGUAACAACUCAUUAAACUACAUUGAUCAUGUUGUUCUCACUGUAUAAAACCUUUUCUUAUAACCGCGGAAUUAGUUUUGGCCCAAUCCUUAGGAACAACGCAGCCUUCAAAACUCAGAAAUAAAGGGCCCGUCCCUCUAUCCUUCUCCACUUAAAUACUAGGCUUAGUUCGCAUAGCUGGAACCUAUGACCCAAAUUACAAGUCCCUCAACCUUUGCGACUUGAACUAAGCCUAGACGCUCUCAUUGUAUAUAACUUAAAACUACAAACUUCUACAAUUUAUUCACUGCUACUUGCAAUUGGUAAUUUGGAAAAUAUAAUAAGCAACAUGCUACAAUUAUUAGCUAUAUACAGAUAGUAUAUAAUUAAACCAGGCAUCUAAGAUCAACCUGACUUACUUGGGGAGCCUAAGUUAACACAAAUAAACUUAAUGCCGAACAUAAAUCCAAGUUUCAAACUCCCUGUAGCACUUUUCAAUUAACUAAAAAAAUAUUCAAUUAAGAAUGCGGGCAGUAAAUAAAAAAAUGGAGUACUUGAAGGUAAAAUGGUACUUUAUCCCAGGGGACAGGAGUUAGAAUAGUAUCGAACUCAUGCUGAGCGAGGCCUUGAUUGUACUCUCUACGAGAGGUAGAGUCAACAAGGGUUUCACAAGCAGCUUGAAGAAUCUGCCGUCGGCCAAUCAAUGCUUCCUGACUGUAUCCGUACUGCGGAGGCUUUGUAAUUCUAGCAUCGUAGCAUCUCCUAAUACCGUCACCGAGGAAGUGAGCUUCAGCACCAAGCACUCUAUAAAAGUCUAUAGGCAUUGAAAUGUGGCGGUCUGAAGGAGCAACAGGAGGAGGAAUAGUCGUAACGGAGGUUGUAGAAGUUGAAUUCUGGAAAUCCGAUGAGUCGGAGGUGGUGGUGGAAGGAAGGAAUUGGAAAUCGGCGAGAAGACGAUCCGCCCAUUUACUAGCGGAGAAGUUAGUAGGUAAACUACUUGUUCCACCGGUAACACUACUAGCUCCUCCGUUAACGGCAUUGAGUCUCGGCGGCUUCUUACCACCGGCGGCGGCUAGUUGAAAUGGUGAUGAAAGGCGUGGAGUACAAAUGCCAAAGCUUAGCUGUGUUAAUGCCUCCAUUGGUAAGGAAGCUUUCAAAAUGUGCUCAUAAUUCAUUGUUUUUACCUCUUUCAGAUAUUUUUUGCUCACUCGUAAUGCAAUUGGGCCGACUCUUUUGAUAUGGGCUAGACACUUCUUGUUAUUGGGCUUGGAAACUGGAUCUUAUGGAUGGAUAGUGGAUAGGCCCGUUUCAUUUGAAUGAUUAGAUGGAUGUAAUGUUCCAAUUGCACGGUUUGCUCUUCAAUUUUGAACUUAUCUUAGCGGUGCAUAAUUUUUGAAAUAUUAUGAUGCGAAAAUUUAAAUGUAUGUCCCAAGAAAAAGUUAUUUAUUUUGAGGGCUAAGAAUUAAAGAUCAACACAAAAUAAGGACAAAACUGCAAAAGACACGUUCUAACUCAACAGUUAAAGGGUUUAUUAUGGAUGAAAUUGGACGAAUUGUGCUUCAAAUGGGAUGUUUUAUAAUCUUAUGUGGAGGAAAAUGUUUUAUGGAAAAUCUAUUUCGUAUUGAAAAAUGUUUGUGACACAUAUAACAACUAUAUUAUAUGAAAAUAAAACACGGUGUUUUGACGAUCGUAAAAUUGGUAAAGAAAAAAAACAAACAAAUAGAGCUUUAGAAGUUACUUGCAAUGUUAAUUAAGCUGACCACUUCUAUUUGACAAACACAAAAAACCAGAUGACAUGGAACAUAUCGCCAUUGACAAAACAUGAAGACAACUUCAAUCUCACAUUCUGCAAGUACAACAAUAAAAAGGACAACCUUAAAUUUCUUUACAUUAAAGGAUCGGAAUCAAAAUCUCUCUGUACUUUUUAUUAUCAUCGCGUUUACAUCAAACCAAAUUAAGCCAUGUUACUUUGAUGUGAAUAUUGAAUCUGAAUAAGUUUGAAUAUUGCAAUAAUUUCAUUGCUAUUCCUUCCUAAUAAUUAGUGGGUUGUCCCAUUAACACCACUAAGUAUUUCUUUUGUCAUAGUCGACAUUUAUAGUCAUUUGAUUGACUCAAAGCAUGCACUUUUUAUAAUUAACAACAUCUUAAUCAUGGUCCCUAAUCUUAUUUACAAUGUGUCGUUAUCUUUUUUUUCUUUUUCUUGAAUACAUCAUUAAAAUAGAGACUAUUAUUUCACCAUUCCACCUAAUUGUAUGAGUAAUACCAUCUUAAUAUAAUCAUUUGGUUACGUGAGGAGUAAUAGUAAUUACUUUUAAGUAUUAAUAGCGAAAUCAAAAAUUUGAAUAAAAGGAUUCAAAAGUUAACAGUUCUACAAAGAAGUUAUUGAUUCAAUUGAACCCUCUUCCAUGGUUCUGGCUCCGCUGCUUACUUCAAGGAGUAUUAUAAAUUUAGUUACUCUUAUUCAUGUAUUAGUAAUACAUGCACUUCUCAUCCUCCGUAAGAUAGCAAGCGACUUUCAUUUAACUGAUACGAGUAUAUAGUUUACACAUAAUUUUUAUGAUGAAAUUAUUUUUGGUAGUGUGGCAAACCAAGAGACCCCAUAUAGACUAGAGAUAAACGAGAAAUGCUACUAUUAUUAGGAUGUUUGGUUUGUUAGAAAUGGUUAUCUAUUUUUGGAGUGACAUAAAUAAUAUCAAUGUAUAUCUUUUGUACUAGUAACUACAUCUAUGUAUACUACUUAAUUCUCCCCUAUCUACAUGAAACCAACUCAACAUAUACCAUAUCUCAACCAUAAGAAUUUGAGUAGUGGGUGAUAGUGAAGAGUGGUCCAAAGAAUAUUGUUUAUUGCAUUCAACUUCCUCACAUCUUAAAAGUGAUAUGGAGUUGAAAGAGGCAAUGACAAUGGAACAAGUGGACACACCACCAUAAAAAGUUGUGAUGAAAUGAAUAGAAUUUCUUUCUUAACAGAAAUUUUGGAUUUGAGCUUUAGGCCGGAAUAGAAAAAAAUCUAGUAGUGAGGAGUAAAUUGCACGGAUACUUGAUUUUGACGUUUGCUCAGCUUUUUUUUUAUUAUUAUUUUGCAUGUAUACACAUUUAGGAACAAGUUCAAAUAAAGUUAUUCUUGACAAAGUCUUAACUUCCGACAUUAUGUCUAAAGUUUCAUAUGACUGAAGUUCAAACGCAGUGUCAAAAUAGACUGUUGGAAGAUAUAUAUUGUUUCUCCUAUUGUGUCUGAAGUUUCAUACGAUUAUUGAAGUUCAGACACACAUGACGACGUCCUAGCAAAUUGUCUCGUGAAAUUUUUAUCGUAUGGGGCUGGUGUUUGUCCUUUUAAUAAUUCAACGCGACAUGAGUCCAAAUUUAUCGAGAUACUAGUGCAGAUAUUGAAUAUCGGGUAGCAAAAAAGAGAAAUUAAAAAAGUGUAAUUGGACACGAAAUUUAGAGAGGCCCCGAAUUGAUGAUAUUGAUUGCAAAAAUGAAAAGAAAAAUGGCUUUAUUUAUUAAUCAAUCUAAACUUUAAAGAACAUGUAUAAUGAAGAAAUCAGGCUAAAGGAGUGAACAUCGGCUUUAAUGUUUGAUCCUAAUUACGUGACCCUCUCAACUAGAAAACACAAAGAAUCAAGUCGCAUUUAAUCAUUUCCAAUUGCUAUUUAUAUUGUCAAUUAAUCAUAAAAUUAUUUUGUCAAAAGCCGCAGAAAGGUAGUAAACCCUUCUUUUCAGCCCCUUUUAAAGACUACUUUUUUCAUGAUAAAUUAUAUUAAUUGAGUAAUCUAAGAAGUAAAAACAUGUUAAAAUGUCCCUUAGUUGAUGAGUACGAAAAAAUUAAUGUUACCGCACGUUUUGUCUUUGAAUCGAAGGUAUAUCCAAAAUAACUUUUCUAUUUUAAGGUAGGGGUAAAGUUUAUAUAUACUCUAUCUUGCUUAGAUUCCAAAUUAUCGAAUAAUAUAUUGUUGUGAAUAUUUAUCCUUGUAAAAGGUGCACAUAUAUUAUGUCAAUAAGAACAAAUAUAAUCUAUUUUAAUAAAGAUAAAAAUAAAUUCGACUCAAUAUCUAUUUGUAAAGUUUGAUGGCAAAUUUAUUUUCUUUGGAAUGUAUCUCCCCUUGGAUACGUUUAUCUAAUUUAUGUACUAUUACAUAAGAUUAAAAUUUUGUUGUAUAAAUAAAUCACUUCCAUCAUAUUUCUACUGUUGAGAAUAAAAACAAUUUUCUGGGAAGAGGUAAAAGGGAAAACAGACCAACAGAAAGGUAAAUGUAAAUAUAAAAAGAGAAGCUCAUAGGCACCUACAAAGGGUAAAAGUUAUCCAAAUAUAAUUACACCAAAUCAAUAUAUAUAUAUAUAUGAUUAUAAAGUUUUUCUAUUUAAUUAUAUAAUUAAUUAACAGAUAAAUUUUUACAUUAAAUCACUUAAUUAUGAUUAACUAUACUCUUUUUCUAUUGAGUCAACGUUUAUGGAAAACAACCUCUCUAUACCAUAAAGAUAAGAUAAGGUUUGAAUAUACUCGUACUUGCUAUUGUUGUUGUUUGUACCCCUCCCUUACUCAAUUUAUUUAUUAUUUUUCCAUUUUCAUGAUUUAACCAGGUAAAUAUCUAUCAAUAUUUUAAAAUAUAUUUUUUAUUUACUGAUAUAAAAAGAAUUAUAAUUUAUGAUUUUGAAAUAUCAUUUUCAAAUAUCUAAAUUUUAAUAUUAAAAUAAUAAAUUAAUCUAAUCUACUUUAGCUUUAAACCUUAGCGAUCAACCAUAAACACACAUGAAGAUAUUGACUCUUACUAUCCCUAUAAAACAAAAAUAAUCAAAUUGACUAUCGGAAAUAUAAAAAAAUGCUUCACUAAUACAUAAAUUAAGACAAAAAGGGAUUGUUUGGUUGUGAAUUAACUAUUUAACAUAAGUUAUCUCAUCAUAUAUAUAUAUAUGAUAACUUAUUUUAUCGGUGUAUUAAAUGAAGAAAUAAUUACUUUCAAUUAAAGAAUAAGAUAAAACAAUCCUACAUUUUAUUCGAGAUCAUUAUACUUUAUGCCUAAUAGUAAAUGACUCCAAAGAGUAUUAAUUUAUCGUAAAUAUCGAAUGAAAUAAAUAUUUAGUCCCAAAAGCCACAGUGCAUAGCUCAACACAUGGCGUUAGUCUUUGUCAGUGCUGCUUCUUCUUCUCCUUCUGAAACUGAAACUGAAACUUUUUUUUUUUUCAGCUCAUACGCUCCUCUCUUCCCCACUUCCAUAACAAACUCCAUUAACACCCACCAUUCUUGAUUUUUCCCCCAUUUGAUCUUCUUCUUCUUCUCUCUAUCAUUACUCACCACCACUCUUUCUCAUGUCAACGGCUACUUUUCUUCUCUCUCCGCCAUUGGUGGUGGUGGCACUUACAUUGCUAUUUUCCUGUGUUUUUUCCAUGGCCGAAAACGUUACAGAGACGGAAAUGGCAGCCUUAAUGUCGUUCAAACGGAAUUUGGAAGACCCACUUGGGGUAUUAGACGGUUGGGAUUUUUCUACCUCAUUAGCUCCGUGUGAUUGGCGUGGGGUUCUGUGUGAUGCCGGCAGAGUUCGUGAACUCCGCCUACCUGGGUUGCAGCUGAGUGGACGGCUAACUGACCAGGUUGGUAAUUUACGCCAGCUACGGAGGUUAAGCCUACAUUCUAACAACUUUAAUGGCUCUGUCCCACGCUCUUUAGCUCAAUGUGCUUUGCUACGCGCUGUUUACUUCCAUUACAACUCUUUUUCCGGUGAACUCCCGCCGGCUAUCUCGAACCUCACUAAUCUUCAAGUUUUAAACUUUGCUCACAACUUCCUUUCCGGUCAUGUCUCUGGUAAUGUUCCAGCAAGUCUCCGGUUUCUCGAUCUUUCUUCUAAUCUCCUCUCCGGUGGCAUUCCGGGUAACUUUUCAGUUGGUUCUCAGCUCGAACUGUUAAAUUUGUCGUUUAACCGGUUCUCCGGUGAAAUUCCGGCGAGUAUCGGAGCUUUACAGAAGUUAGAGUAUCUCUGGCUUGAUUCUAACCAACUUUACGGCACUAUACCUUCAGCAAUCUCUAACAUUUCCACAUUAAUACACUUGAGCACUAGUGAUAAUCAUCUGCAGGGAUUAAUCCCGGCAACAAUCGGUUCACUUUCCAGUUUACAGGUAAUCUCAUUGUCGCAAAAUCAACUAUCUGGUGUGGUCCCUGCAUCAUUUUUCUGUAAUGGGUCAGUAAAUGCUCAUGCUAUUAGGAUCAUUGAGCUGGGUUUCAAUGCAUUCACGGGUUUAACUAAACCUGGGAAUGCAACAUGUUUGAGUGCUUUAGAGGUCUUGACCCUUCACGGGAAUCACAUUAAUGGUGUUUUUCCUGAAUGGUUGACGAAUUUUUCGUCGUUGAAGGUUCUUGAUAUCUCCGGGAAUGCAAUUUCUGGAACUCUGCCAGAUGAUAUAGGGAAUUUAAGGUUUCUUGAGGAGCUUAGACUGGGUAACAACACAUUAACUGGUGAUAUUCCUGCUAGUAUUGUGAACUUUGGUUCAUUGGGGGUACUUGAUUUAGGUGGAAAUCGGUUUUCUGGAUUGAUUCCACAGUUCUUGGGUAAAUUGACAGGGUUGAGAAUGCUGUCUCUUAAUGGGAAUCGCUUUUCUGGUUCGAUUCCGGAUAGUUUGGGGAGUCUUUAUCAGCUGGAGUUUUUGGAUUUGAGCAUGAAUGAUUUGAAUGGGAGUUUGCCUCAAAACCUUAUGUUGCUUAGCAAUUUGACUAGUUUGAAUUUGUCCAGCAACUUGUUUUAUGGUGAAAUUCCAAGAGGAAUUGGAAGCUUGCAUGGGUUAGAGGUUUUAAAUGUUAGCAAUUGUGGGUUCUCAGGGAACAUUCCGACUAGUAUCGGAAGUUUGUUGAGGCUGACAACUCUUGACGUGAGCAAGCAAAACCUAUCUGGUGAAUUACCCUUUGACAUUUUCGGGUUGCCAAGUCUACGAGUUGUGGCUUUACAAGAGAACAUGUUAACUGGGGAUGGUCUGGAAGGUUUUAGCAGUUUAUCUGGUCUGGAAUAUUUGAAUCUGUCAUCUAAUGCCUUUUAUGGACAAGUUCCGAAGACAUAUGGUUUUCUUACAUCCUUGAAAGUUCUUUCUAUGUCUAAAAGUGGUAUUAAUGGCUCAGUUCCAGCAGAGUUGGGUAACUGUUCCGGCCUUCAAGUGCUUGAGCUUCGAGGAAAUAAGUUAACAGGUCAAAUUCCGAAGGAUUUCUCACAUUUAUCUCAUCUAAGGAAGCUUGAUUUGGGCCACAAUGGAUUAACCGGGGAAAUCCCUGAAAACAUCUCUAAUUGUUUAUCUUUGGCUACUCUCUUGUUGGAUUCUAACCAUAUCUCAGGUCACAUACCAGAGUCGUUGACGAAAUUAUCAAACUUGGAAAUGCUGGAUCUCUCUUCAAAUAAUUUGAAUGGAUCAAUUCCUUCAAGUCUGUCCCUGAUUUCCAGUCUGAAGUAUUUGAAUAUUUCCCAUAAUCAUCUCGAGGGUGAGAUUCCAGAGGCAUUGGGUUCUCGGUUCAAGGACCCUUCUUUGUUUGCUGCGAAUAAUGCUUUGUGUGGAAAGCCAUUGAAGGAGUGCAAUGACGGUAAAAGGAAAAGAAAGAAGUUGAUCUUAUUCAUUGUUUUGGCUGCUGUAGGGGCCUUUUUCGUGGCAGUGUGUUGUUGUGGGUACAUCUACAGCCUUAUACUUUGGCACAAAAAGUUAAGAGGUUCAGCUGAAGGGAAGAAGCGAAGCCCAGGCCGUGCGAGUUCAGGGGGAGAAGGGGGCCGUGGAAGUGGAGAGAAUGGAGGUCCAAAGCUUGUUAUGUUUAACAACAAGAUCACUUAUGCAGAGACUUUAGAAGCGACACGACAAUUUGAUGAGGAAAAUGUGUUGAGCCGUGGAAAGUAUGGCCUAGUAUUCAAAGCCACUUUUGCAGAUGGAAUGGUCUUGGCUAUCCGCCGCCUUCCUGAUACAUCAAUCGAAGUGAACACAUUCCGCAAGGAAGCUGAAUCCCUCGGCAAGGUGAAACAUCGCAAUCUGACUGUUGUUCGUGGAUACUAUGCAGGACCACCACCUGAUGUUCGAUUUGUUGUAUACGAUUACAUGCCUAAUGGAAAUCUUGCCACACUUUUACAAGAGGCAUCGCAUCAGGAUGGCCAUGUGCUCAAUUGGCCAAUGCGCCACCUGAUUGCUCUUGGCAUUGCUCGUGGCUUAACUUACCUUCAUUCAGUUUCAUUGAUCCAUGGAGAUGUAAAGCCACAAAAUGUAUUGUUUGAUGCAGAUUUUGAAGCUCAUCUUUCGGAUUUUGGUUUAGAUAAACUAAGCCUAGUAGCAACUCCAGCAGAGACUUCAACAUCUUCCACCUCAGUUGGAACUCUAGGCUACAUAGCACCUGAAGUGGCAUUAACUGGACAACCCACAAAAGAAGGUGAUGUAUACAGUUUUGGGAUUGUAUUGUUAGAGAUACUAACAGGAAGAAAGCCAGUAAUGUUCAAUGGGGACGAGGACAUUGUCAAGUGGGUGAAGAGACAACUACAAAGAGGCCAAAUUUCAGAAUUGCUCGAGCCGGGGUUGCUUGAACUGGAUCCUGAAUCAUCAGAAUGGGAAGAGUUCUUGUUAGGAAUCAAAGUUGGUUUGCUUUGCACCAUGCCUGAUCCUCUUGAAAGACCAUCGAUGACCGAUAUUGUAUUCAUGCUCGAAGGCUGCAGAGUUGGUCCUGACAUUCCCUCUUCAGCUGAUCCUACAACUCUUCCUUCACCAAUGUGAUAUGAAAAUUCAAUUCUUUGCAAUGAAAUCAAUUUGCAAGAAAAUGUCCUUCAUUUUUCUCAGUUCAAUAUUGUUCAUGCAUUUCUUCAAUGUAUUGCUACUCCAUUCAUUAUCAUUUUGUUUGUACAUUGUUCAUUCAAGAGUUGGCUGGUUUUGUGCAAGUAUUAUAUUUCAAGUCUAUUUUCUUAAUGGCUUUUGCAACCCUUUGAUUCUUUUCUGUUUUUAUAAAUAAAGAUCUCACCAUUGUGAAUUGGGACAACUCCUAUAUUUAUUUCUUAAUUAAGGAGCAAAUGUAUAGUUUCAUUAGGCACAUGUUCAUGAUAAUGUGUGAAUCAAUUAAAUAGAUAUCACCAACCAUUACAAGUUUACAACAACAACAAUAAACCCAGUGUAAUCUCAGGUCUAGAGAAGGUAAAAACUAAAGUGUAUUCAUAUCUUAUCAUUAUGUUUUUGAAGAGAGACCGUCUUCAAAAGACCUUCGGCUCAAGCAAAUCAAAGCAUUAACCGAAUGAAAAGCAUAACAACUAAUAGCAAAUCAAUGUGAAGCAUAUAUGCAAGGAACAUAUGUCACCAGGACUUUCACUCAUAAAACUUCAAAACUUUUCCAAUUAAUAUGGGUUCAAACACAACUUCAAAUUCCAACUUAUGAUGUACCUCGUGAUAUAUAAUCAUAUGAAUAUCUAUAACUUAUUUUUUAUCACAAAUUUAAAAGACAUUUUUUCUUGAUUAAUCUUUGUUUUUUUGGGGGACGGAGAAUACAAUAUAAUUCAAGAAAAACAAAUAGAGUACAUCAUUACUUGUAUGGUUAUUAAUUAUGUUGUGUAGUUAUUAAAGUGGUAUGUAUGUAUGUAUGUAUGUACUUUUUUAUAAUUCAGAAAUCAGGGAAUCAAGUGGGACCAAAAACAUGAAUUCCCGCCAAAAGAGUAAUGAAAAGAACAAAAAAUAGAUAGAAUAGGUACAAGUGGAAAAUACGAGUAUUAUAAAUAAGAAAAUAGCCGUUAAUGUGACAGUGAAAACUGAAGCCAAAAAGCUUUUUUUUAUGGGAAAUGGAAAUUGUAGGGUCCCAGGCGUUAGUUUCUGUCUAAAUAAUUUCAUUUCAUCGAACGUCUGAUCCACGUAUUGAAGUCCAACUAAAUUUAGAUUGAAGGUAAAAUAUUUUUUAAUAAAAGUGAUUUCAUACUUUGGAUCAUUGAAGUUUAUUACGAAAGUAACUUCGUAUCAAGUAAGACUCAAACUCAAAAUUUAUGACUAAAAUGAAAAAGUACUUAUCACUUUAUUGCGACUUAUUAAUAUAAAUAUAUAUUUUACGUGGGAAAGGAAAUUAGGACCAAUAUUUUAUGUGUUAAUUUAGGUGAGAAGUGCUUUUACUGCUAUUUGGGAAUUGGUUGGUCCAAUUAACAAACCACGUCGGAUUUUAGGGAAAUAAGCAAUACUUUGACCAGCUAUGUGGUCCUCUGUUGUGUCUUAUUAUAUUGUGAUAAUUUGUCUUAAAUAUAUUUAAAAAAAUAUUAUAGGUGAACAAUAGUUGAAGGUAAAUUUAGCUCUUCGUAAAUAUAUUCGGACAUGUGCACUACUCAUAUUGAUACUAGAAGCUCAUAUUCAAAUUUAGUGAUCAAAUCUCAAUGCAAUAUGAGUAUUAAAAUCAUGGUGUUCGAAUUAACAUUUAAACUAAUUUUAUGAAAUAUCUGUCCCUGUAAUCCACAUUAUCUCAAUUAAUUUUACGAGAUAUUUGUUACCUUCGAUCCGUGCACAUAUAUAUAUAUCAUCGAGGAGUAAGGCUGGAACGAAACCAAGUCUUGUGAAUUUCUGACUCAACGUAAAUUAUGAGUCUUCAGAACAGUGUCUAUAUAACAUCAGAAAGUACUUGACUGAAAUGAUGGGUCAGUGUCAGAUAUAAAAUUUACAUCGCUGUAAUUUUAACCUAUGGUGAAUAUCAUUAUUUAUUGCAUAGUAUUUACUACCCCUUUUCAUAAAAAGUCAUCACUUGUUUGUCAUUUAGAGUCAGGUUCUUUAUCCAAGUACAAAAGAUAAUUAAAUUGUUAUAUACAUACAUACACUACAAUAAAUAAGUAUAUAGUAAAAUACUUGAUAUUUGUGAUUGGUUACUUGGGUACUUGAUAUACAUACAUACACUACAAUAAAUAAGUAUAUAGUACCACUAUUAUUUUACGGUUUUUAUAGUUAUAUAUAUACACUUUGAUAUUCAUAAAAAGGAGUAUACAUGAAAGUUCCAAGAAUCAACUAGCUUAACGGUCGAAAAUAAUGGCAUACUGGAAUUAUGGAUUGCUUUGCUGGUGAUGUUAAAUAGAAUAUAAUCCAUGUACCAUGUGGAUACAUAUAGUAGCAUCACGUAUCAUUAUAAAAUAAGAUAAAUUCAUUGUAACAUCACGAACAAUGGAACUUCUAUCUCGUUUAUUUGGUAAAAGCAAAUUCAAAAUUUCUUUUAUUCGAACUAUCUCCAAUAUACUCGAUGAGAGUUGUUUGGCAAUUAUGUCCAUGAUAUGGGUUGUAUGAUAGUUAUUUAUAUCAGUUGCUUAUCAAGUGUCUUGAUUUAAAUACUUUUGACCAUGUCAUUAUUGAAGAGAUUAUUUUUGUCUGAUUCACUUUAACAAUUUUAGUUUUUCGACGAGACAAUCACAUCAUUCAAUACAUCACCACAAGUAAAGCAACACCCAAAUGGGUAAUUACAUAGUUUGUGUUUAAAGUAGCUUCAUAAUUGAGCCUUCAAGCUUCAACAUGAUUACUUCUGAAACGAAGUAUAUCAGUGUAAUGACCCUCCUGGUCAUUUCUGUGUCUUGACUUCUGUGUAUCGUUUAGAACAUUCCUGUAGCGACCCCAAGUCAUUUAUGACUUGCUGGGACUGACAGUUCGGUCACCUGGUCGUUCGUUUGGUUAUGAUGUGAGUUUUACUGUUUUGGAGCUUAUGAAUCUUGAACGAUCAUUUUCGAUCAAAAGUUCAAGAAGAUGACAUCGAAAUUCAAUUCUGACAAUUCCAUCAGCUCCGGAAGGGUCAUUUUAGGCUAGUAGCAUGGUCGACAUGACUCCCGAGGUUUUCAGUGUGAGUCGGUGCGAUUAGGCGUUUUAACUUUAAGUUUAAGCCUAAGUUUGACUUUGGUCAACAUUUUGAGUAAACGCACUCGGAUGAGAAUUCUGUCAGCGCGGUAAGCUCCGGAAUGUCAAGUUUGGUAUAGGUUGACCUUUCUUUUGUGUCUCGAAGUUUUUGAUAUUUUUCGGAUCUCUUUUGUAGUUUUUGACUUAAAAUGACAUUUGGAUGUGGGACCCACUUUUUGUCAAGAUGACCUCGUAUGAAAAUUUUGACUGUGCCAUUGAGUCCGGAAUAUCAAAUUUAGUAUGGCUGCAUAUCUCGUUUGCGUGCACGGGGUUCCGAACGAGUUUGGAGCACCCCGUCGUAGUUUUUUUAGUUUUGGAAAUUAUUGCAGAAAAUCAGCAACAUUUCCCAAACUUCAAACCCUCAUAACUCUCUCAUCUUUCAUCCGAAUUAGGCGAUUCAAAGUGCGGGAGCUUCGUAUUUUUGGUGGCUUCACUGUAGAGUGUUUGGAAGUUGUCGGGUGCACGUAGUUCGAGGUAAAUUUCGCAAUAACCUGACUGCUGUACCCCUUUUUCGAGCCCUUGUUUUUGGCAUUCUUGUUUUGGUCAUAUCUCACUCAUUUUAGCUCGGUUUUGAGUGAUUCGAAGUCCCACGUGUUGAGAAUUGUCUUGGCUUCGUUGUAGAAUGUUCAAAGAGUGCUGGGCACUUUUUGAUUCUCUUUAAUUUCAAGUUUAGACUGCUGCAAUGUUUUCUUUUAAGUUGAUUAAAGUGUGGUUUUCUUGCUUGUUGGGUGUUGAUGCGUUUUAAUCCCCGAAUUGUGUUCCAUUUUGGAAUACAAGUUUGGGGUGCUGUUUAGGGUGUCUUGACGGAGUCAAAUUCAGACAGUUCGGUGCGGGUCCCACGAUUCUCAUUUUGACUCCAAAAUUGACUCGUCUCCGUUUGUUGUGAUUUUGGUGUCUAAACGACCGUAAUAACGUCGUGACUCUAUUUUUGAUAGCGGGGCAGAGUUUCGAGGACGUUCGAAAAGGAAAAGCUCUGGAGAAGUGAUUUUGGAGCGCGUGUGAUCGGCCUACAGGUAGGCUAUGGUUUCCCUCUCUUAGAUUGAGCUUGAGAGUGUGAAUGCAUGUUGAUUAGUUGGGGUUUGGGUUGGUAGUGAAUCAUGCAUAGGUGUUUAGAAAUCAUGUUUUCGGCCUAUUUCGAGAAUUAUCGGGGUAACUGUGAGCAUUGCUUUUGUGUUAUUAAUUGACCCUCCUUGCUAUGUGGAGUGCUUGCAUGCUUAAUUAUUGUUUAUUUGAAGCAUGUUGGACCUUAGUUUAGGUUUGACUAGGGCUUGCCUUAGAAAUACAUGAUUCGGAUCCAAUAGGCCUUAGUUUUACCCCGACGUCACUUGACUGGCUUAGAUCCCUGUAGACUGGUGUAGCAGACUUGAGUCUGAUAGUUUGGGCCUUAGUUAGGCGAUACUCUUUCUCCGACUAUAGUUAUCCUUAUUUUCCCCGAUGUUACGGCUUCACGAGUUACAUCAGCAACACUAGUUCUACUUCGCGAUUUGAAUUUGAUUUUUGAUUCGGUUCCAAGGACUUACAUUGAUUGGCCAAGUAUGGACGGCGUUCCAUGGACAUUUAUGAGUGUGGAUCGAUUAGGACUCUUUCAGCAGCUACAUUGGCGCCUUUAUAGAGCAUCCGGUUAGAGUUCCGGCCUCAGAUACUUGUAAGUAUAUAGUACCACUAUUAUUUUACGGUUUUUAUAGUUAUAUAUAUACAUUUUGAUAUUCAUAAAAAGGAGUAUACAUGAAAGUUCCAAGAAUCAACUAGCUUAACGGUCGAAAAUAAUGGCAUACUGGAAUUAUGGAUUGCUUUGCUGGUGAUGUUAAAUAGAAUAUAAUCCAUGUACCAUGUGGAUACAUAUAGUAGCAUCACGUAUCAUUAUAAAAUAAGAUAAAUUCAUUGUAACAUCACGAACAAUGGAACUUCUAUCUCGUUUAUUUGGUAAAAGCAAAUUCAAAAUUUCUUUUAUUCGAACUAUCUCCAAUAUACUCGAUGAGAGUCGUUUGGCAAUUAUGUCCAUGAUAUGGGUUGUAUGAUAGUUAUUUAUAUCAGUUGCUUAUCAAGUGUCUUGAUUUAAAUACUUUUGACCAUGUCAUUAUUGAAGAGAUUAUUUUUGUCUGAUUCACUUUAACAAUUUUAGUUUUUCGACGAGACAAUAACACCAUUCAAUACAUCACCACAAGUAAAGCAACACCCAAAUGGGUAAUUACAUUAGUUUGUGUUAAAAGUAGCUUCAUAAUUGGGCCUUCAAGCUUCAACAUGAUUACUUCUGAAACGAAGUAUAUCAGGCAUGUGAAUCCAUGAUCUCUAAAUAAAAUUAAGUAUAUUAUGUAUAUAUUUUUGGAAAUUUUAGUAAUGCAUCCAUAUUUUAAAAUUCUAGAUUAGCCUUUGCUAACCGAUGAAACUAGCAACAUCACAUGGAACCAAUCGACGGACAUUCAAGUGUGUCUUAUAGUUUAUGUUAAUGAUCACUGGUCAUUUGAAUUUUGAUCUCAUUUUCUCUAACAAUGGGAGUACAUGUGUCUCCCCUAAAGGCCAACAUAAACCAAAAAAUAAAAAAUAAUAAUAUGUCCUCUAGACAUUGAUCUUGCCACUAAAAUUAAAACUCACUCCUGGUUUAAAUACCAUUAGGGAUAUAAGCCAUGUUUCAUGUUUUCAAGAAGGUAAAAUAUGUUUCCGAAACUAUGGUCAAACACAACUUCAUAUCAAGUCAAAACUAGACAAACAGAUUGUAUACGAAAGGAGUAGUUCUUUUGAAAUCAGGAAGCAGAUAAAAAGUUUUUUGUCCAUCUUUUUAAUACAAUCAACUUGUGUCGCCUAAAUUAUUCAGACAGCAGAAGAGUAAAAUAUCAUCCAAAGCUGAUACCAAGUAGCAGAAGUCAAUAGGUAUAAAAUGGCAAAGAUAUCCCAGAAACAAAUGAAAGCUUAAAAGUAAAGUCAAUAUAAAUUAAUACAGGGAACAUUUUACAGCAAUCCAAUUAUUGUCUUUCAAAAAUAUCGGAAAAGUUUGAUAUCUUUAUUGAGGGAAUUCUUCUAGCCAAGCAAUCAAAUACAUAAUCACGGAGGCCAAAACUAAACAAAAUGUAAUUCAACAGCCAAACUAGCUCAUCGAACGAGGAAGAACACAAAGAUACUUCACAAUUAUGGAACAGGUGACACUUUUUCUCUACUCUGCUCUAGAUUGACCAGCGCGAGAAGAAAGGAUGAUACCGACAAUAAGGCCGUAAAGAGCCAAGGCUUCAGCAAAAAUAAGGAUCAGAAUCAUUCCAACAAAAAGCUUUGGCUGCUGUGCAUUAGCUCUGAAAACAACAGAAACAAAGAAAUGCACCAUUAAUUGGUCUGUUCUCUCACCUAAAGUGAGGAAACCUUCUUCUGAGUAAAGCAUAAAUGAAGUUAGCAGAACUAUAUGAAUGCUACAUAAGAAAAGGGAAUAUGAUACACAAGGAGGCCUAAUGAAAGAGCAGUGAAGUUGUGACUAUCAACCCCUACAUUAGUUAACCAACAAAGCCAACAACAUGAGACUGCAACUGUAUAUAUACUCAGUUAAGCCACCAAGGUGUAAAAGUCUGAUAGCUAAGCAUACGAUUUUAAACUUGAUGGAUACUUACCUACAUCUAUAACCCUCUCCACUUAAAUAUAAAUCUAGUGGCAGGAUUUGAACCCGUGUCAUGCGCCUAACACAUACAUCAUGCAUUGCACUCUUACCACUACACCAAGGCUGCCCUGGAAGUUCUCUUGAGACUAACAAAGGAAAAAGAAUCUUUAAAGGUGAAUUAUAUCUCCAAUUUCCCGUUCCAACCCCAACAUGCAGAAUUGCUGUAUCCCAAAGUUCAGUCCAACCCCAACAUGCAGAAUUGCUAUAGCCCAAAGUUAUUAACCACCACUCUCCAGUGUCCCCUCUUCCCCCUCUUUUGCACCUUCCCCUAUAUACACCAAUCAGUCAUAAAGAACAAUUCAAUAGUCCUAAAACAGAAUCAAUCACCCAGGAUCUAUUUAUUCACUAAAGGCCAUCUAUUAUUUUUAUCAGAGUCAACCACAUGCAAGUAAAGAUCGAGUUGCAAUGAGACCCAAGUUUAAAGGAGAAAGAAACAACCCACAAUAUUUGGUAUCCUGAUAUCUCUCUGCCAAAUACACAAUUCACCAUUACUCAUUUAAGACAAAUCAUGAAAAUCCUAAAAAAGAGUGAUCUUUUUUAAUAAAGGACAACCAAUAAAAGAGUGAGCUUUUAUAAAGGACAACCAAUAAAAGAGUGAUCUUUUAAAUAAAGGACAACCAAUAAAAGCUAGGCUAGUAAGUAAGUAAAUCCAGACAGAUCAUACAUAGAAAUGCCAAAAGGUAACAAAAAAUCUGCCAUAACUGAUUAAAGAUCCAAACCCACAUGCUCUUCACAUUUAUCGCAAUACCAGCAUAUAAUUAAACAUAAUCAACUAUGCAAUAUCAAAAAAAUACUCCUUUAUGAAUCUCCAUAUCAGUUCUGCCGAUGAUUAAACACAAUACAGAAAAUUAGCAGAAAUAGUAAAAUACCUAACACCAGCAUCACCAACGAUUCCGAUAGCCAUACCAGCAGAAAGACCAGCAAGACCACAAGCAAGACCAGAUGAAAGGUGAGCAUAUCCAUCAAAUAGAUAAUACGACUUAGUUUUCGGGUUAAUCCCAGUACUAAUAAUCACAGCAAUAAUUAACCCAUAAAUACCCAAAACUCCAGCCAUAACAACCGGAACAAUUGACUUCAUUACCAAUUCCGGCCUCAUUACACCCAUCGACGCUACUCCUACCCCACUCUUCGCUGUACCAUAAGCUGCACCCAUACCUAAAUUCACAAAAAACUAGAUUUAGAUUCAAAAAAAAAAAAUGAAAAAAUCAUAGCUUAGAUCUAAUGGAAAAAGAGUUACAGGAGAAGACUAAGGCAGCUGCAGCGCCGAGGAAGCCAAAAAACGGUGCCGUUUCAUCUCCACUAAACGUAGAAGCCAUUUUUAUCUUCUUCGAAUUGGGAAAUUGAAGUAAUUUGCGAUCUGAGUGUUUAUUGGAAUUGAUUGAUUGAUCUAAAAUGCUUCUGUUAAAUACAUUUGAGAUCGUCAACCUGAUCCAUCACUUGAGCUAUAAAUGGGCCUUAACCCGACUGUGAUUAAAGAAGUAUGUGUGGGCCUAAAGCCCAUCUUUGGAACAUGAAGUCGUAACUAUCCUGCGUAAAAAUUUGCAAGUUUAGCCAGUUCAGACAUACGGUGUCUAAAGUUCAGACAUUUACUUGUGAAAGAAUCCACGACAUCAAUAACAUAUCCAAUAUAAUCUCACAAAUACGGUGUGGAGAGAGUAGUGUGCACGCGAAGACCUUACUCUUAUCUCGUAGAGAUAGAGAGGUUGUUUUCGAUAGACCCCUGGCUUAACCCCCACCCCCACCCAAAAAAAAAGGAAACAAAUAGAAAAAAGAGAGAACGAAAAUGCAGUAAGAACACAACAAAAUAAACAACAACAACAACAAUAUACCUAGUGAAAUCUGAAAAAGAUUAAAUAUACCGAGAGUAAAAUUUAGCUUGGAAAUCCCAAACUUUUGUCAAAACUCGUAUGUUUUAACUUCGUGAAUUCUUCUAUUUCGUUUCACUAAUGGUAAUACCUCACCAUUUUAUCUCUAGUUUCGUUUCAUUUUGUUCAUAGUAGUACCUCCAUCCAUUUUAUCCAUGACCUCAAUUUAGUUUAAUUCAUUUUCACCCGUGAUUACAUUAUUUAUCCAUCAUGGUACGUCAUACAUUUCACGCUAAAUAAAACAGCAAUUCAAAUAAUUAAAAAAGUAGUGAAAUGAAAUUGUUAACCAACAUCCAGCAAAACUUUCAAAGAAAAAAAAGGAAUAGAAGCGAAGGAACAAUUGUCUUUAAGUAUGCAUACUCGACUCGUACUGCGUAUUUGUGCACGAAAUCUAAAACACUAAAAUGGCAUAUAGGUCGUACCAUAAAUUUUUUACACACAAGGCCACUGGGCAGACUACUUAACAAGAAGCACUGGCAUUUCAACUUCAGCGACCACGUUUAAGCCUCAUAAGGAACGGUUGCUUCUCAGCUGCAAUCUUCAACAUUGAUUACCAUAAUCAUAUGAUUAGUGUACGCUGUCAAAAUCAGAAAGACAAGGCACUGUUAAGCAUUUAAGCAACAUUAAACAAAGAUAAUAGGGGAAAAUAUCAGGGGAGGAAGGGAGAUAAAACCAUGAAAUCGGUAGAGGCAACUGCAAUGAUGAAUCAACAGCUGCAAAUCAUCAAUUAUCUUGUAACAGAAAUCUUACUGGCAAGCAAGUGCUUGUGCGCUGUGACAGUAAACAGGAACUAAAUGCACAUAGAAGAUCUUGUGUGCACUUCUCAGUAGAUCGAGGCAGACAACAGAUGUAGGAGGUGACGUUAUGAACUGCAGUGCUCUCCAGGGCACAAAUAAGCACAGAAAUCACAAUCAUGCAUCAACAAGUUACUACAUGCCAAGGGAAUUAUGUAAAAGCUGUUAUGUAUAUGACUUCCAUCCUAGCACAUUGAAAUCUGACAUUGAACUAAAUAAUGGAAGUGGAAAUAGUUACUUCUGCAAAGAGAAUCAGAACAAACAUAUUUGGCUAAUUAAAAGACUAUAAAGUCCACUACAAUUGGCCAGUAAAAUGAACAAUGAUCACUGGCCUAAAGAAUUUCAGGCUUCCUCUUUGUAUGGCUGCCUGACCUGAACAUCAGAUGACUUAUAUUUCCAUCUUUAUCUACUGCAUUGAACAUGAGGAAAAUGAGAGAUUUUGAUUGGACGUUAGCAAUCCGAUCAAGAACCUCUUCCCCAUUUCAACAUCAUUCUGCACUGAACAGCAUAGCUGAUAUUUUCAUCUGUAUCUACUGCCAGUAGUACACAUACUACCGGUACCGGUACUCCAUUCCAAGAUGUUCAAUAUGAUAAGUUAUAUGUUUCUGCAGAACUGUAUACGAUCAAAUUUCACCAACCUCAAACCGAGGGUAUACUACUAGCCUGAUGGAUAGACCCAUCUCCUUGAAAACUUAAGAGAAACAGAGUGAGACAAUAAGAGGAAAAAUGACCACAAUUUCUAAUUGGUAAUACCAAAAUAAAAGCAGGCCCUCAAAAGUAAAUAGGAAGGCAGAGUGAAAUCAAGAAAAGCAACCUGUAAGGACUGGAAAUAGCAAGUAGUCCAAAGAGAAGACUCUCCUCCUGCUGCGUCUCUCAGCUCUCAGCUAUAUGCUUAACCUGACAAUAAAGGAAAUAUAUAAGAUCAGAUAACGCAUGUGAGAAAUCAACAGAUUACUAGUGUUAUGCAUAAAAUUCUAUAGCAUGCAUCUUUUCAUCAAUUGCAAACUUCUAGUGCAGAAUGAAAAUGUCUUUGACAAACUUAUCCCUUGAAAGAAUGUGAGUACACGGGGCAACAAUCACCUCACUUUCAACAUAAAAAUGGCAUGUACUACCCAGAAAAUUCGCACACACCUUCAGAGAGAAUAAAGAUCAUUCCUCACUUGGGGGGGAUGGAGAAGGCGAUCUAGAAAACUCACUUAUGUACUCCCUUUGCUCCCUCUUCUUUUGGCCUUCUUCACUGGGUAGUGCAUAGGGAUUAAGAAACCUCAUGAACAAAGAUCAAGCCACUUGGACACAAUCGCCAAAAGCACACAUCUCAACAAUGUUCUCUUUGAUUGAGUGGAGCAGUCCACAGAUCAUAGAAAGAAAUUCAAUAUAGCAUAUCUAAGAGAUUUCAUCUACACUAUAAGAAAAAAAAUCUUUAAGAGGGGAGAUAGAAGGAGGGUUUUGUUUUUACUUAUUCUGAGAAAUCAAUAUUUCAAAAUGAAGGAAGCAUAUGACACCCUCAAAAUGUUCUGUGUAUUUGUUCCAAUGAUAACAAUCCUGAGCUGUACACAUACCAAAACUAAAGAAAAGUCAGAAGUGAUUGUUCAUCAAAGGGGAAUCCUGAACUGAAAGAAACAAAGGGCUACUUUUCUUCUAUAUAAUACAACUUCAAAUCUGACUACCAAUUCUAAACCUAAUCUUGCUAUCUCUGAAGGAAUUCACAUCAGUCAGCAGGAGUAGUAGUAUAACAUUCACAUGACAGACAUGUUUUCACCGACUUUGCCACCUUGAGAAUGUUUCUUGCAGACACACCGCAACAGAAAUGUCAAAAGUCUCAAAUUUGCAGGACAAUUAAUCAGUCUCUUACAAUAAACAGUCCAUGAUACGCUCAACAAAACAGUCUCUGAAGACAACAACUAGCUUGGCAAGGAUAAUUGUUCAAUGAAGCCUGCAUUCCUCACUCGUCGAUGAUUGUUGCACCCACUCAUGAAAAAGUUGAUGAGACUAAUCACCCUGCGGUAAAGCAUCAAUAAGAGUGACUGCUCAUCCUUUGUCCAUUAUGAUUUUGCACCCGGCUUCAUCUGAAUAUGCCUUUCAAUCAACUUGUCCACGAAAUCUCUAAUCUGCAGAUUUACCAAUACAACAAAUCAAAGGCAGAAAAGCAAUGAAAAGUGAAAAUAAAUACCAAGCAUAUUGAGCAAAUGCUAUAAAAAAAAAUACAAGUGUUUUUAGUCGGAGUAUAUCUCCAAACAGAUCCACA